UUGUAUUCGGUUCAUUUAUGAAACAAGUUGAACACGAACCAGCUCAUUAAAGUAUCAAGAAGAAAAAUUCAAAUUGUAUUCGGCUUGUUAUUAUUGACGAGUACAAGCUGAUUCAUGAACAACAAGUUAAAAUAAUUAGAAAGAAUAUAUAUAAAAAGUAAAUUUAUAAAAUUUUAUCAUUAGAGUUUGAUCUAAUGGUUGAAAUUUAACAUAUAAAUAUACUUUUUUACAAUUGAGUUGGGCUUUAUAUUUAUGUUUGGUUAAAGAUUAAAUCAAAUAAAAAUCUGUAUUACAUCUAUAUGUAUUACUAUAUAUAAAAGUAUAUAUUUCAAAUUUCGAUCGUUUAAUAGACUCAUUUUAUUUUUUUUUUUCGUAUGCAAAAUAAAUAACAUAACUAAAUAAACGCCUAGUUCUUUUUUUUUUUCCAACUAUUAAUAUUUUUUUUAUUAAAUAUUUUUAUCAUUCAAUAUCUUUUUUNAAUAUAUAUAUAUAUAUAUUGCAUUUAUCAAAAUUAAAAAAUAUUAAAAAAUAUUCAAUGUAUGUCUAUAUCUACACUAUAUAUAAAUUUUAUAAAAUAAAAAAGUACUAUCUAAUUAUUUUGGCAACAACUAUUUAGAUUUGAGUUAAAAGAUGAUAGAGAUUUUCUAAUAAUAUAUAAUAAAUGAUUUUUUUUUAAUUAAAAUUUUAUAUUUAAAUUUUUGAAUAACUAUGAUGUAUAAAUUUAUAUUAAUUUGAGAUAGUUAUUAAAAUAUUCGCUACAUGCAUUUGCACCUAUAUUCAACUAAUAUAUAUAUAUUCAAGCUGUUAUCGAGUCGAACACGAGUGAGCUGACUCCAGCUCAUGUUCGUCUUGUUUAUUAAACGAGCUGAAAAAUUUAGCUCGUGUUUGACUCGUUUAGUAAAUGAACAAUUUGAUCAUGAGUUCAUUUCGAGCCGAACACGAAUUUGCCACCCCUAAUCUCUACUACUUGUUGGUUUUUAAAGGAAAAAAAAUUGAUUUUUUUUAUACAUGUAUAUACCUCCUCUUUAUUUCUUGUCAAUGGUACAGUCCGAAUCGGAGACAGGGCUUCAGAAAUACGGCUGACGCUGUAGGUGACGGCGGUCACGUGCUUAUUGAGUGCCGCAGAAAUGUAGAUCGGGUCGAGGAGGGUGCGAUGGUUGCAAACAUAGAGGUGGCUACGGCCGCCAAAAUCGUCAUCAGCAGCGGGAGAAGGGGCGAUAAGACGGGCUCUCAUGCCGGAGAAGGCGCCAAUUGGGAUGGAAAGGGGGUAAGGAAGGAGAAGAAAGACGAGCGUGCGAAAGACGGAGAGGGGAAUGCCGAGAGGAAGCCAGAGAAACAUGGUGAGGGUGGCCAUCGGAGUCGGCCGGAACGCCAACCUCCCAUCAUGGAAUACUAAGGGUUUUGUAUACUGCUCUCUAGGCAACACGUGCCAGUUUCUCUUCUCUGCUUCGUUCACCCAGUAAAUACUCUAUAAUAAUAUUAUGGACAAAAAAAAGAAAAAGAAAAAACACAUGAUUAGCAUUUUAGUGGCAAAUACAAAUAAUCAGAGUUUUAGUUCGAGAAUAAAAGAAAGUACACCGAUCAUAGUCCAACACGUUGGUCAUACAAUGCAUAGUUAUUAUUUGAAACAAAGUGGUCUCAAGAGAGUACAAAUAUAUCAUUGUUUAAUGCCGUGGGAUAAUAUGUCGUGUCCUUACUUAGGUGGUAAGUUUCAAUGCAAAAUCUUUGUUCACCAAAACUUAGAAUGGGGCCGAUUUUGUUAUCUACCAAAUCUAAGCUACCUAGGAGGUCAAUUUCGGUACUCAAAGGGAAAUUGCUUUUUGAUCUUUAUGUCGUGCAAUAAUACUUAAGCAAUAACAAUGGCUAUUUAAGUAAAUUAAGGAGAGUGGUUUGUUUUAUUAAGGAGGUUCAUAUACCGCCAAAAUCGAUAAGAAAUUUAUUUGUAAUUGUAGUUGUAAAAAUGUGGGUGUCACGGUUACUUAAUUAAACAUGCAUCUGAUUGUUAUAUUUAACUAAAAUUUGACAUAUAGUUUCCGUAAAUUCUACUUUAUCGUUAUAUGUCUUAAUAUAUAGUUUUUUCAAGCAAAAACAGUUGACUUAAUUACUUUCGUGCAAGUAAUUUAAGUUUAGGCAGGAAAAGGUGGGUUUGGUAUUUGAAUUAAUUAGCAGGGACGUUUCAUUAUUUUUGAGACUUUGUUGGAAAUUAAUUAUUUUAGACUACAUUAUUGACAAAGGCAAUGCAUGAGAUGAUAUAACACAUGCAUCUAACUUUUGUGAUAAAUAAAUUAAGGAAAUUAUCUAAGGAAAAAUUAAAUGAACAAGUGCAUGUGCACGUGACUACGUCUUCUUUUGUUGGCAUCUCGAACACAUAUUAAUUUCACUACCGAAUGAUUUCUAGUCUCUGAUACAAUAAGUACACUGUUUCAUGCUUUGCAUAUAUGCACAUAUGCUUUGCAUAUAUGCAUUUAUUCUUUGCAUAUAUACUUUUGCAUAUAUGCAUGUGCUGAAUUAAUUUUCACUGUACUCGCAUGUGUGGAAACAUGUUUAAUUUUAGUUCCGUACGUUGUGGGAGGAAAGAAGAGGGAUACUAGCUAGGGAGGAUGGUUAAUUAUGAUAAAAUAAUAAUUAGAAAAAAAAAGAAGAUAAAGCAAAACUUAGUACAAUUAUACACUUUUAUUUUACAAUUGACUCAACCAAAUUUAUAAUAAAGGAUCAAAAGAAGAAUGUUAGAUACCAUCUUCUAGAUUUGCCUAAAUAUGCAGCAUGAUAUUACAUUUUACUCUUAAGAAGUUCUUUCUUUGGAGCAAUUUUUGCUCAAAAAGCUAUGCGCGUAUUCCUUUAUGUGUGCAUGUAUGUAUGUAUGUAUAUACAUAUACGUAUAUCUAUACCUAUACAUCAAUCUCCAUGACUAAAUCCUACAUGUACCCAUCCCCUUAAUUUGAGGAGAAGUGGAGGCUAUUUUUUUUUUAUUUUUAUUUUUUCUUAUUUUCUUUAGAUUUACUGAGGCCUAAAAAGUUUUUUUUAACCCCUUUUCUUUACUUUUUGGUCUUCCACUUUCUUUCUUAAAUUUGCAAAUUCAAACCUUUGUUGUGUUUCAUAUUCGGAGUCAAGUAAUUAUAAAUUAUCUUACGUAUUAUUGUGAGCCUUUUUUUAGUCAUAUUAACUGCAAUAUGAUAUUUUUUUGAUUAUUGUGUUAUAAAAAUAAUUCAUCCAUUUGCAUGAUAUGCAAUCUCUUUUAAACAAGAUUGAAUAAUUUUGUUGGAACGAUUGAUUCUUUUUUAUUAUAGAUUUGUUAAAAAAAAUAUUUGUCUAUAAUAUAAACUAUAUUUAUUAUUUUUUAUACUAAACUGAUAUUUUAUUUUUUAUAAAUUUUCACUUUAACAAUAUCUACCCGCCGUAAUCCGCGGGUCACUACACCAGUGUACAUAAAAACACAUGGAUGACUCUUAAGAUACCUUUGAGCUGUCACUCGUCCACAUAUAUAGCAGGGAAGUUUUAAUUAAUUUCUUAUAACAAGGACUAGGAAACUACCACCCUAAAAAUAAUAUAAAAAACUAAAGCAUGCCCACAUUCUUACAGAAACAAACAAUUACAUGCACACAUAAAUUAAUAGAAUAUUCAAUUUAAUGAUGUAAAUUAACACAAAAGUACGUUUUUUUUCUGAUUUUUACUGACCUUGCAAUGAGAGAAAAGUUUGCGGUGCGGAUCCUGGUGGGAGCAUCCGAAGUAACCCACAACUCCUCCACCCGACUCCUCCUGUUGUUGUUCAUGAUCACCCAACAACAUUAUUCUCUUCAACUCCGAGUUCUCCUCCACCUCUCUUUCCUUUUCCAUUAACCCAACAAAGUACCCACCCACCACCUUUAUCUCCCUCCCCACCACCACCUCCACACCUAAAUACUCCUCCAAAAACCCCUCCACCAUGACACGUGGCAACCUACUAACACACACCCUCCUCUCUCCCCUCCUCAACACCUCGAACCCCUCCAUGCCCACAUCUUCUAAGAAGAACUUGUGUAGCACGGCGCUCCCUAGCCGGAACUUAUCCGCCCGUAUUCCGACGAAGCACACGAAUACCAUGAUCCUUGUUCCGAGCUCAUAAUUCAAAAGGAGUAGGAGAGGGUAUAUACAUAGCAGUAAAAGGCCUCUUAAGAAGCUCCCCGCCUCUAACGCGACGAGCAUGAAGUAAGGGAACGCGGAGGGGGAUCGUAGGAGGGCGCCGUCCACGUCGAGGAGUACGGUUUUGUCGGCGAGGUGGUCGAGGGGCGGCGGAGGGCAUUUUUGCGGUUUUGGGUGGUUUACAUGCGCGUUUUUACGGUGGUGGUGUGCGAACGGGUUGGUCAGCCUCCGCCGCAAAAACCGGUGAAAAUAGAGCAAAGAUUUGGAGAAGGCCUUUUGUGGUGGCAUUAGAACUCUCUCUCUCUCUCUCUCUCUCUCUCUCUCUAUAUAUAUAUAUAUAAACCUCUUUCUUUUCUCUCUAGAUCCUUUUCUCUCUUCUAAGUUUGAGUUGCUUGUAUUUUUGGAUGGGACUCGGUGAACACACGGAAUGAUGAGGCAAAUGAGCAUGGGAACGGGUUGUGUGCAUUUAUAAGUGGAUAGGGUGGGGGAGGGGGCAUGGUUUUGGAGGAAAAUUACGAGAAUGGCAUGGGCUCACAACGUUUGACUUAUCCACGGUCCGAAGUGGACGAAUAUGGUUGUGCCAAAUAUCCCAGUGCUUGUGCUCUUUAAUGUCUUGCUUUGAUUUGCUUUCCUUUUCUUAGGGAAAACAAGAACCGCACACUUCCAACUAUAAACAUCCUAAUUAUAUAUCUUGAAAAUUUUCUAAACUACACCACACGCAAUAUAAAUAAACUUUGUAGUUAAUUCAGUAUUUUAGUUGGUGGAUUUUUCGAUUCUAAAUUAUGAUAAUCUUUUUAAUUAUCUUCGAUCGUAGAAAGCUAAAUAUAUAAUAACUUAACUACUUUUUUUCGUUUAAAUGCUAGGAUAAUUAAGGUGCUUAAAUUAUUUGGGCUUUAUCUGCCUCAACUGUAGAGAAAAUUAACUUUAUACAAGACUAGGUGGUUCAUCAAAAACAAUCAUAAACUUGAAGCGAUUUAUUUUAACUUUCCAGCAUUCAUGCGGUAAUCAAAAUCUUCGUCUCGUUGGUUUUAAAGCAUAAGGUGCUAACGAUUGAUAACCUCCAGAAAAGGGGAUGGCGGGAGAGGAGUGUUGCAUUCUCUGCUCGGGGAAGCCAGAGACAAUCGAUCAUCCUUUUGCGGUCUGUGAAAUUACCAAUAUACUAUUGGUACCUCUUUUGCUUAGUAAGUCAUCCUUACAAGAUUGCAAUUCAGUUGACUAGCUCUGGUAAGUAAGUUGUAUCAAGGAUGGUGGUGCACUAGGGAGAAGAAAUGCAACGACUAUUGCCGUUACUUGGUGAGCCGGCCUAUGGUCAGAGUGGAAUAGAAGAAUACUUAAGAAAGAACAUCACAUCUUGAGACAACUGUUGGCGGAGAUCCGGUCCUAUAGAAUUCUUUGGGAAACGUCGACACCGCAGUAAUGUUUUUUUCCUUUCUCUAAACUAAGGCUGGAUGCCUCACCAUUGUCCUCUGUUGAGCCAGGGGACGCGCAUGUGGCUACUUCGCUUCGCUAUGACGUGUAUUUCAAGCUUGCACUAGGGGUCGUCUGUAUUUCAGUUUUGCAUUUGCUUUCUUUUUUCAAUCGUACUUGUUUCCCAUCCCGAGGCCAUGGCUGUCUCAAUCAAUGUAGCUAAAUUCAUUUUCUUAUUGAAUGAAGCGGGUAGCGUGCUACCUAUUUCUUAAAAAAUUAAUUCAUCUUCUAAAUGAAUAAAAUGGUAACAAGCUACCGUUUUCUUAAUUAAAAAGAAAAAAAAAACAACAUUCAUGCGGUAAUCUACAAUAGUGCUGAUGCCCAAAAAAAAAAACAUUUUCUUUUUGAAUAUAUACUUGCCUUCAACAAAAAGAAAAAGCUCGAUUUUUGGUUUAUUCAAUAACCAAUCACCAUAAAUUAUGACUUCAAGUUUAUGCUACGACAAAACAGAUCUCCUGAUUAAGAUAAGCAUUUUGGAGUUGAGCUUGAAAUAUGCAUCAUGGUUUAAUUUUACUAAGAGUAAAACUAAAAUAACACAUGUUUGAACCAAUCUAGUUCUAAGUUCGGAAGAAACCCGUGAAAUUGACGGCCAACCUCAAUUACCAUUAUUUUUAUGGUCAUGGACUAAGUUAUGUGCUCUGGAUUUUAAGCCACCCGUGGAGCUUACAAUGGCAUGUGGAACUGCUGGGACGUAGGUCAAAUAAUUUAUAUUGGUACCUCCCUACAAUUCAGGGUUAUUAGUCAAUAAUACAAAGUGGUCGUUGAACUAUUAAUUUGCAUGUACUUGCUCGAGUGUCAUUUGAAUUAGUUGCUAGCUAAUUUUUUAUUGGUACUUCCUGAACUUUUAGCGGAAUUUUACUUUACCCUCAAACUCUUAAAAAUGGAUAUUUAGCCUCCUAAACUUUAAUAUUGCAUUUUUGUUACCCCUUCCGUUAGUUCUAAUUAACGAAGCUCAACAGGAGUUGACUGAAGGGUUAGGUUUUGGCGGGAAAUCUAUCGCCAAAACUGUCCCUUGUUCGGCCCAAGCCCUCUUUUAUUCUUCAAAACUUCUUUUUCUCCAUUUCUAUACCCUCCAAAGUUUUUAUUCUUGUGUUCUUGUUCUGCCCAUCCUUCUACGGGAAACGAAAUCAAAGAAUUAAACCCUAACCUUCCAACAAUGAGGAAUGUUAAGAAACCCUAAUCUUCAAUGGAUGUCACUAGAUAUUGAAGAAGAGGAGGGAUUAAGGAGAAGACGGAGAUGGUGAAGAACCCUAAUAUUCCAACGAAAACCCUAAGUGCUCCAUCGUAGCUUCGGCAGAGAAGAAGUUCGAUUUCCUCCGCAACUUUUGACAAAACCACAUUUAACCCUUUCGUCAACUCCCGUUAAGCUUCAUUAACUGGAACUGACGGAAAGGACAAAAAGAAUACAAUAUUAAAGUUUAGAGGGCUGAAUGUUUAUUUUAAAAGUUUCGGAAGGUAAAAGUGAAACUCCACCAAAAAUUCAGGAGGCAACAGUGCAAUUUACUCUUUUUUAUUUGCUCAAAUAGGUCACAAUAACUUUCAACACAUUGCAAGUUUGGUUCUGUUGUUCGCUUUUGUUAUCUAAAGAGAGAUAAAAUUAAUACUAUAUGUGAGCAACUAUUGUUAAUCCUAUGAUAUUCAUUGUUUUUGCUAAUAAUAAUGUAUUAUUAUUGUACUAAUAAAAAAUGCAAAAGCUUUUUAAAGAGCUUAUUAUGCAAAUGAAAAAUACUUUGACUUAAAAGCAUAUAUAAGAACCGGGUCUAGUAAUGAGCAACAUUAGUGUGCCUGUGCGAGCCGCGUUACAGUGCGACCUGCAUUGCGCGGUGUUUGAUACUUGCGGUUGCUUGUGAAUUUCUAUGCACAACUACUUGAAAAGGCGUAUUGAGAAAAAUUAUGAAUCAAAGUAUUUUUCAAAAUGCAGAGCUAUGCAGUCGACUAGCAGGCUGCACCGCGUGGCCAAACAAGACCGAUGUCUAUAAUCCAUAUAAUUUUUAUUCUUUAAAAAAAAACAAAAGUUAGUUACAAAAUAAGGUCAGAUCAUCUUGAUUGAUUGAGCUUUCUAAAGCAAUAAGUCAAAUCUAGAUAUCAGGUUUACACAAACUAAAGGUAUAAUUAAUCUUUUUUUUUUUAAUCCAAAAUCCAAAACCUCCAAUAGAUUUAAGCCGCUUACGGAGGUUGUAGCAAAUUUUAUGCAACUAUCGUUGUAGAGAAUCGAGUCCGUGUGAACCACUAACGCGGACAAGGAGGUGGGCCAGCGGCUUUUUCAGGACAAUGGCAGAUCCGUAAAUAAGAUACUGUGAAGGGUCAUUUUGAAGUGAGGAGAUCGCGAAGUGUCGUGGUUUUGAGGGAUGGGUCACAUAUAAUACCCGGUAAUGCACGCACGAGUCAAUUAAUUAUAAGAGAUCCCACAUUGACUCCUCAGAAUUAUUGCCCACUCUAAAUGUGGUAUACGUGGGCGGUGACCACAUCCUUCGUGGGCCCCAUAUGGGGUGUUGACCAUAUCCUAGCUGGCGCCAAAAAAAUUCAAUAAAAUAUUAACCUCAUAGUUUUUUUUUUAUAAUGAUUUUUUUGGUGUAAAUGAACAAGGCUCAGAUAUAUAUAGAACACUUCCUAAUUAGUAAUUAGCAACCUAGCUUCCAACCAACUGUUUUGUCGUUACUCUAAAUUUGGGCUAAAAUUCUUACCAUAAAAAUCAUUAUAACUCUAAAUUUGAAAUCAAAUUCUUAACAAAAAAAUUACGGUAAAUGUAAAUUUGAAACCGACCGUCCUUAGAGCAAGUGGCAAAGGACUUGAUGGUUGGUAUCCGAGACCCAAGUUUGAAUCCUAUUUGAUUCACAUUUUCAGCUAAAUUUAUUUUUAAAUGAAACAAACGAAACCGAUAGAGUGCUAUCUGUCUCUCUCAAAAAAAAAAAAAAAAGUAAAUUUGAAUAACAACUCUUACUAGUCCUACAAGGUUGAUAUAAUCUACAAAUAAAUUACACUAUUUAUUAUUACAUUUGUGAUAAUGCCUUACUUAGGUCAAUUUAUUUUUUAUUAUUCUCACAAAAUUAAUUACAUAAAACCCGUUUUAGUUUGAUAUGUAUCGAUUAGCUAAUUUAGCAGCUAGUCAUUUCAAAACUAUUAUGACUUUACUGUUGUAGAUUAUAUAUGUUCCAAGAAUGAUUGGAUAAAUAUAUGUUCCAAGAAUCUUUUAAAAUAAAGAUUAAAACUUUAAUAGCGAAUUCAUAAAUUCAAUUUGGGUAAGAAGGACCGUAAUUUUUUAUUUUUGCCUUUUCUUUUUCCACUGUGAAAGGUCUAAAAAGUCAAGGGUGGGAGAUCGACCCACAGGCUCGUCCACGUCACGUGCACUGUGGGGUCCACCGUGCUGUUGUGGGGCCCGCAGGGGACCAAAGGGAAGUGGAGGGCACUUCAUGUUGCGUUGUUGGAUUAUUGAUGCGUGGCUUGCACGAAGGAACGCUUUGAAACCCGUUUCGUUAGGCCCAUGAGAUGCAAUGCCUUGUUUUUCACUUAAUUAAUUUCUCAAACCAUCUAAACCAAGUCACCACUAAACCCUGGAGAGUGAGAGAGAGAGUUUUUAUUUUUUUCCCAUAUUAUUAUUUAAUUCUGUUGCUUUGGAUACUUGAGUUACGAUACUUUGGAUACUUGAGGAAUAUUAAUUUCAUGAAAAAGAUAUCACUACAGGAUUUAGGGCCCCCUUAACAUUAAGGCCUAUUUAAUGCUUUAACACAAUAUGAUAUUGGGAUAAAAGCUUAUAGAGAUAUGAUUUUUCAUUUUUCAGUAUGGCCAAAGAAAAUAUAUCAUAACUAAUUCAAUAAUAUGAUAUAUAGAAUCUGAUAUCACAUAUAGAGAUCUAUAAUAUUUUUUCACAGCACAUAAUGUAAAUUUUUCAUAAUUCAUUAAGUGUGUUACUUAUGAAAAGGAUUGAAUUAAGGCAUGGUUGAAUGUCUCAAUGUCAAAAGAAAGGGAUAGGUAUAACUAAAGAUGCAUGGCCAUUGGUUUUACUAGGUCAAAUAUUAUCACCAUCAACCUUGAUAUGGUUAAGGUUUAUCACAGAUAAAUUAAAGAUUCGUAUUGCCUACGACCAUAAAAAUUGACACAAACAUAAACGUACUUUUAAGUACUAUAAUUAUCAUCCACAUGCAAUUAGCUCUAUAUGUUAAUUGAUAUCAACCAUGAAGUAAUUUGACCUUUUCCUACAAUUUGUCGCGUGAUGAGCUCAAACUUAAAAUGAGCCAUUUUCACGAAUGGAGAAUAAUUAUAUAAUAAUUUUCAAACAUCAUAACUUAAAAUGAGCCAUUUCCAUGAGUGGAGAAUAAUUAUAUAAUAAUUUUCAAACAUUAUAAAUGCAGUUUUAUUAAUUACCAGUAUUUCAAUGACAGAGAAGUAUAUAAUUUCAUUUUAAUUUGUUUAAUUGGUAAUAGAAAUAUGUCACUAUCUUUGUGCUUGCGUUUCUAAACCAACAGUGUAAAUUAACCCUAGUUCUAUGUCACAACUUUAUGGUAUAACAAACCUUAGGUAGCAUGCACUAAUGAAAUUGAUCUCCUUAUUGACCCUUUUCAUAACUCAAAGUUUGAUUCAACUCCCAUUGAAAUCUUAUGCACUGAAGCUCAUAAAUCUAUUACAACUAGCUAGGUAAAUAAGAGUUCACCCACUCAUCCAACUAAUAAGAAAGAAAAGCUUUUGAUGUCUCGAUCACCUAUAAGGUUUAAAAUCACACUAUGUGGUCCUCUUUUUUGCCCUUUUGUUUUCAAGGGAAUAUUUUGUGUCCUUGGGGCCUCAACGAUGUUACAUAUAAGCUGUUACAAUAGAUAAAGUUGGUGGGCAUUUUGUUAUCUUCUUUUUUUUCUUUUUUUUUACUAGUUAUGAAGUCUCAUAGGUUGGUGAUCAGAGAUAUCUUUGCUCCCACCUAAGUAUUGUUUUUAUGCCUUAAAUUAGUCAAUUUGUUUUUUUUUAUGUUCUUUCUCUCUGAGUUACGUUUCAAUUUUUUCUUUCAGGCCCAGAGAAAGUUAUAACUAAGAUUAAUUAGGUGACCCAUCUCGAAUGUUAAGGAGCGCGUCUAUUAAUGUUUAUUAAGAGUCCCCCACUUGUUGAUCGAUUAAUUGCCUCGCGUCUUUUUUGCUAGUCCAAAUAGAUAGUUGAGAAAGUGAUGAAAGGAAGGUUCCCUUUAUAAUUACCAAAGGAUAGUUAAGAAUUCUCAUGCAUGCUAUUGUGUUUCUCCUAGUUAAAGAGUUAAAUUACAUUAAGGGCGUGUUUGGUUCGCACUAUGGAAGAUUACUAGAAGUAAAAAGAUAUCCGAGAAUCUUAUUCCUAUUCAUCCUAUUACUAAGAAUAUAGUAUUUUGGUGUUAGGUUCGUACAGUUAUAUUAUUUAGUCAUGUUAUUUAAGAUUACAAAAAAUAUAUAAUUAAUUAAUUAAUUAAUUAAUUUAAUUUUAAAUAAUAGAAUAAAAAAUUUCAACAUCUUUUUUAGAAAAAAGAGAGAAAAUAUAGGUUAGAAAAAGAGAGAGCAUAAUUAAAGAAAUAGAAAAAGAAAUAGAGUCGAGAUUAGAGCAUAGAAUGAAAGGGCUUGAGAUUUUAGAAAGAGGAGGAGAAAUAACUUAAUUUAAGAGAGAAACAAAGUUGAAAUUUAGGAGAGAAAAUGAUAAGUUAAUUUAGAGAGAGUAUGGAGUUAGAGUGUAAAAAAAAAUAAUACCAACUAGCCGCGGGUGGAAAAAAAAAAAUUAGACAUAUUAUAAUUACCAAUUCAUUAAUAUAAAAAAUACCCUCCUUCCUCAAAGGAAUGAAUUAAUACUUUGGGAUGCAUCUCCAUUCCCAAAUAAAUCUAGUAUUACCAACUAGAUUACUUAAUGCGUUUAGUCAACACGUCAUAUUUUUUUUAUUCCAUUUGGAUUACUAGAAAUUUUUUAAAAAUAGCGCGAACCAAAUGCACCCUUAGGAGUUGGAUUGUACGUAGUUGUGGCUUAUUUGCAGUUGUUAAUUGUGUGUAUAUCCAAAUCCAGUAUCUGGUUUGAUGUAUUGAGUUUAACUACUGUAAUUGCAAUACACAAGGAUUGUACCAAAAUUGACCAUAGUUCAAAUUGCAGUAGUUGAAGAGAGAGUGUGGUUCAUCUCCAUAAUAACAUUUUAAAUAUUUCAAACAAAUAUUUUUUCCCACAUAGGUGGUAAUCUCACCAUCAUAAGCAUAAAAUGAAACAAUUUUACAAAUACACUUUUCAUUCGCAUAUAAUUAAAAAAUUAUUAAUAAUUAUAAUAGUUUAUAAUAUAUCUAUUCAAACAAGAUGCAUGUAACUGUAAUGUGUGUAUUUCAAUUGUAUGCAUUUUCAAUUACAAUGAAUCUACCCAAAAUGACUUAGCUAUGCAUCUUUUAUGAGAGGAGACGGUCCCUCACAAAAUAUAUGUAAAUAGAUGGGCCAGGGUGUAGGAUUUGACCAUGGGGAGACAACUAUCGAUCAUUGAUCGCACGUAAGCCAAAUUAAAUUUGAGUAUAAUUGAAACCCUAAGGUUACUUACAAACUCAUCUUAAAGUUCGAAGUUAGAUUUGAUUACGUGCUUGAAGUUCUAGUUGUGAUAGUUAUGUUCUUAGAGAUCAAGCUUUGACAAUUUAGUUCUUGAGUAAUUUUACUCCCCGAUUCAAAUUUUGCUAUCUAAGUUUCAUUCGUUGUGUAGAGUAGAGUACAUUGAUGAUACUAACAAGGAGAAAAUCUAGACACGCGAUUAACUAAAGGUUUUAAUUAUACAAAACGAUUCCAACGACUAAGAAAAGUUGAAUGUGGCAAGUGUUAAUAUAUUACACUAGGAAUCGAAGCUUCGUACCUAAGAUAGCCUACCUCAAUUUAUUAUUACUUGGUUUAGUUGGUAGCAACUUUUAUAUAUAUAUAUAUAUAUAUAUAUAUAUAUAUAUAGUAGAGGCCUGUGCUCUCAGGAGCAAAGAGGCCUCGUGCUCCUAAGUCGUUUUCGAUGAUGAAAAUUUUCGAAUCGACAAUCGCUCCGUUAGAAUGAUCUAGGUAUUUGACGGUUUUAGGGAAAUAUUUUUGCGAUUUUUUGAUAUCAUUUACCUAGUGAUCGAAAGGAUUCAAAAUCAAUAAUUUUUAAUGGUUGAUAUCUGCCGUUUUCAAGUUUAACGGUGUAGAAGUAUUCAAAUUAGAUGAAAUUUUAAUACAAAAUUCUUUAUACUAUCUACAACAAGAUCAAUAUUUCUGAUCGAAAAUUUUAAUGCUAUAUCACUACUUUUCAUAGAAUUUUAAUUUUCAGCCAUUAAAAAUUAUUGAUUUUGAAUCCUUUCGAUUGCUAGGUAAAUGAAAUCAAAAAAUCACAAAAAUUAUUUUCUAAAAACUUUAAAUACGCUAGAUCAAGUUUGACGGAGCCGAUCGUCGAUUCAGAAAUUCUAUCAUCGAAAACGGCUCAGGAGCACGGAGGCCUCCGUGCUCCUUAGAGCACAGCAGCCGUACUCUAUAUAUAUAUAGUGAGAGAGUGAGAGAGAGUAGGGCUACUAUACUUUUAUAAGUAUAAAUCUUUUUAUACUUGUAAAUUAUUUUUGAUGAUGAAAUUUUCAAAUUGAUGAUCCAUAUCACUAAAUAUGAUUUAAAAUAUUUGAAACUUUUAGUAAAUUAAUUUUGCUAUUUUUUGAAAUUAUAUAAAAAUUCAUCAAGCGGACAUCAUAAAAUGCACGAUCAAAAUUGAACAGCCUCAUAAAAAUAGAUAAUCAGAUUCUUUAAUUUAAGAUCAAAGUUAUUGAUCUUUAUUUGUGAAUAUAAUUUUUUGUCAAAAAUUUAAUUAAUUCUAUUUUUUUAUACCGUUAAAUUCGCAUAUAUUCCAAACCAGCCGUUAAAUAUUGUCAAUUUGAAGAUCUUUUGAUCUUAAAGUAAAUACUGCCGAAAAAUUAUGAAAUUUGAUUUAUAAGAGUAUUUUAGACGGCCUGAAUUGUUAAUUCGGAAGGUAAUCGUAUUUAUGAAAGUAUAGUAACCGAACUAUAUAUACAUCAUACGGUUGUACCAAAUAUGAUGUAAGUGAUAGAGUUCAAAUUUGAGUCCCUCUCUAAGCCUUCCUCCUUAAGAAUAUGUAACAAGUCGUUAGGAACCUCAAUUUUUUCGUACAUGGCCUUCGCAUGGUGAGAGAAUGCAUGUAUAUAAUAAAGAAGUGUAUUGUAGAUCGAAAGUAGGUUACCUAAUUAAACCAUUUCACAGCGUCGAUAUAGUUUUCUAACGACAAUAUGUAGAAGAUGAUUCUUUGCUUAUGAGAAGCACACAAGCAAAAGGUUGCUUGACUAGUUGUGUUUUGACCAGUUGGAGAACAUUUAAAUGAUCACGACGCGUUGACACCAAAAUUUGGAUUCAUUUUUUUAUUAUUAUCUUUUAUUGGAUUGGAUCCAAUAUUGUUGCAAUACACAAUAUUAAUUAAUGUAUAGUGACCACGGUCCACGCCCCUCUAUACUGUAUUAGGUAAAGCUAACGUAUCUACAUUUCUAAUAUUAAAAGAGUUUACAGGCUCAAACUUCUUGUGAUGGAUUGGGACCUUCUUCUCGGGCCUUAAACAUCUAUAAGUAAUUGUGUGUGUGUGUAAUUGCGGUUCUUUCUUCUUCUUCUUUUUUUUUUUUUUUUUUUUUUUUUUUUUUGUUUNUUUUUUUUUUUUUUUUUUGGGGGGGGGGACCUGGUUGCCUCACACUUGUAGCUUAAUUCACCUCUCUAAUGAAUGAAGCGGGUAGCGUGCUACCUCUUUCUCAAAAAAAAACAUUAAAAGAGUUGUCAAAACUUGGUAUUUUUGUACACGUGCCUCUACUGCUAUAUUUGGUAAAGAAAAUGUUUAUAUCUACAUUCCCAACAUUGCAAGAGGUGUCAAAACUAGGUAAAUUUAUGUCCCUUUGUGUAUUAUAUAUGUUUCUUUUAUUGAAAGGUUCAGACCAAAACAAAAAAAAAAAAAAAANAAAAAAAAAAAAAAAAAAAAAAGAAGAGGAUGAGCCCCCGUUUCUGACCAAUGUGGUAUGCGGAAGAUGAGGAACCCAAAAUUAACAAAUUUAAGGGUAAACUUUAAUUUGUCCUCUAGUAUGACUUAGCUUAUUUUUACUUUAUUAUUUUAUAGUUCAAAAAAUUACACUUAAGUUUUCUGUAGUUAUAAUUUUUUUUUGCUUUAUUAUACUAUUUAAUAGUAGAUUUUUUAGAUAGAAUAAAGAUAAGAUCAUAAGAUAGUAAAAUAUAAUUUCUUGAACUAUAAAAUAAUAAAAUAAAAAUGAGCUAAACAUAUAGAGCCAAAUUGUAGUUUAACGUGAUUUAAUGGGGUUAUUGGAUGAGUGGCCACAAAGAUGCUUAAGCCUUUAGUUGUAUGAGACUAUGAGAGCCAUCUCUUGGUGUAAUGUUUGCUCACGAUGCCCAUGUGACUAUGUCUCUUUAUAUAUUUUGUUUAUAUAUUUUUUCUAAUAACAUUAAAUUUCAUAUUGAAUUGAAAUAAUGAUCCUCAUCUGUGCCUACGACGUGCAAACAUUUCUAUAGUUACUAGCGUAAGCUUCUGAACUAGCUGAAACUAUUUUACAUGGGGGCGUUUUAAACUAUUAAUCACAUGAGAGAGAGAUAAUAAUCCUUUCACGUAUUAAAAAGAGGAGGACUUUCAAUUUGGGGUCUUACCACAUCUACUAAGUUACUUUUUGGUCAAAAAGGUUGAAUCCAAAUGCAUUGGUUUUGUCCAUGGAAAGCUAAAAACAAGCCCAUUAAAUAACCAGGGGUGUUAACAUUCAAUUGGGGCGAGGGCUAAAAAUUCACAUGAAGUGGGUUACAUUAGAGUUCGUAUGAACAAGAAGAUAAUUAACAAAUUUGGGGGCAAGCACUCUUCACGGCCCAUUAGGACUUCGUACUUUGGGCCGAGAAUUGUGGAUUUAUAAUUUCAAUGGGCCGGCCCACUUACCAUCAGUAUAGGCUCACAAUGCGGUGGGCGACACAAUGGACACGGGUGCUUUGUUUAGUAAUGUGAUGGCUAAAAAUAAUUUUUUUUAUAUUUUAAAGAGUCUAUAAAACUUAAAAGCACUUAUAAUUUUUUCUCUUUCAAUACUUGCCAUUGCAACAGCCACAGAAAAAAAAUAUAGCCAUAUGCAUCUUCAGUGAUAAUUGCAAUUAUAAUUUUAAAAUAUAAAAGAAGAAAAAAUUUAAAAGUGCUUUUGAAUCUCUUAAGCCUUCUAUAAUAUAAAAACAAUAUAUUUAGUCGAGUUAGGCUCUUAUGCUUUCGAAAGUACGGGGGCCUCCAUACUUGUAAGUUGUUUUCGAUGAUGGGACGUCCGAUUCGGCGAUCGAUUCCGUUAGACAUGAUCUACGCUAUUGGAACUAUCUAGAAACCAAAUUUUAUAAUUUUUUGACUUCGUUUGCCUAGUAAACGAGUAGCCUCAAAAUGAACGGUUGAAAAUAAAAAUUCCAUUAAAAACAAUGAUAAAGGACUCAAAUUUCAAAUCGAAAAUAUUGAUCUUGCUAUUGACGUUAAGUAGAAUUUUCUAUUAAAUUUUCAUCUAAUUUGGAUAUUUCUACGCCGUUGAACUUAAAAACGUGCCGCAUCGACCAUUAAAAUAGUUAUUUUUGGGACCUUUUGAUCGCUUAGUAAAUGAUAUCAAAAACUUAUAAAAUUUGGUUUCUAAAUAGUUCCAAUAGGCUAGAUUAUAUCUAACGGAGCUGAUCGUCUAAUCGGAUGUCCUAUCAUCAAAAAUAAUUUAAAAAGUACAAAAGCCUCGAUACUUUCGAAAGUAUAGUAAACGCACUCUGUUUAGUCACUAUAUUACCCAACUAUGCCUUCAUAACACGUGUCCUUUGAGGUGGCGCCCUCGCCGCACACUAUGGGCCCAAACGAACAGGAAAGUAUUCCAUGAACCACGAUCUGUAGACCGGGCUAUCCAAAAAAAAUAAAUCUCUAAAUUUCUAAAAAUAAAAUUUGAAAAAUAUUGGAGAUGCUUUUAUAAUUUUUGAUGAUCAUUUUAUUUUAUUUUAUUUAAUGAGUAAUGUAUACUUUUAAUAUUGCCAAGUAUACAAAACUACUUGAGAGUUAAAAAGUUCUCCGGUCUAUAUAUAGGCCGGGGUCCAUUCAAUGCCUUUUGCGAUAAAGACAAAUUGCAAGUACAUGCUAGCGCAUGUAACCAGCGGGAGAACCGGGGUUUCUCGAUCGGCUCCGGUUUUCUAGUGGUCCCAAGUCAAUGUACGAAUUAAACUCUCUCAUGUUCUUAUAUCCUGCACCACACAGGACACAGCUGAGCCAACCAAUCACAACAUCACAAGUAGUAUUUCGCACCACCUUUAAAUCAAAGAGGAGAACCACACAAGUACGUACAUAAACCCUCCUCCAAAAGGAUGUAUGUAUAGCACUGUUUCGUAAGCCAGUUGUUUAGAAAAACAAAAGCUUUCAAACCGGAUAAUGUUUACUUGAUAAAAUUUCAAGAUCCAAAAUUUAUAAUCUUUCAUUUACGAUAGAACAUAAUUUGAAUAGUUAAAUUUUUAGUGUGGCACGUAUGAAUGAGAUGUACUUUUUACAUGUUGGGGGGACAAUUAAUUAUUUUCCUAUUGUAACUCUUUGAAACAGCCAUGAGAAGUACGUGGUUGGGUGUUACGCGGCAUCAUUCGCUUACGGACAAAGCAAUUCUCCUCUGAACGAACCCAUUAAAAGGGGACGGGUCGUAACACAGGCGAGGAAAAUGACUCGUGCGGCACCGCUUCUUCUUAGCUAAUGCCACGUGUCCCGUCUCCCCUCCUUUUAAUUCUGCUUCAGGAUCAGGUGAGUAUUUUCUUCGAUCGGGUGAGUAAUUACACGCAAACAAAUUUCUAGAGAUUGGAGACACAGAUUCUCGGCAACGCCGUGAAUAGCACUUUUAUUGUUCGUUCGGAUUCGGUGUAUUCUGACGGUCUAAUUAGGCCGGUGUGCUUUUUUUUUUUAUUUUUAUUUUUUUUGUGACGAGCAUGCUAAUAUAUAAGCAUUGGAUCUUAAAUUAUGAAUAAUGCUGUGCCCACUUUUAGACAACAGUAGUAUUCAUUAGCUUAAAAAGCGCAAGGAAUCUAUCACUUUUUUAUCUAAUAAUAUAAUUUUUACUGCUAGGAUUACUAUACUCUUAAUAUUGAUAAGUUUUCGAUCGUUGAAGAAAAAUAUAAGCGAUUAGAAUGAUGAUGGUCCACUCUAAAAUAAUAGUAAUUUUCUAUGGUUGAUUAGGUGGUUGAUUGAAUAGUAUAAUUUAAUGAAUGAAAAUAGUCAAAAAAAUAAAUUUAAAGGUAAAAAAUUUAUGGGUAUAAAAGAGUUUAUGCUCGCAAGCGAAUACUAGCCGGACUUUAAUUUUUACAUUCUUCAAAAUUGAGGAAAAAUAUGUAUAUUUAACUAAAUUAUACCAGGUCCUCAAACUAUAAGGAACUUGAUAAUUGAAAUAUAUAAUAUAAUCAUAUAUUUUCUAUCCACAGUUAUUUUUUUUUUUAGAGAAAAAUAACAUGUUAUUCUAUUCGUUUAUUUUUUUAAAAAUAUAAAUCAUGUAGAAUUUAAUUUGAAAAUUUUAAAUAUUAAUUAUUUUUUUUUUUUUUUAUUGCGCUGGAAAUAGUUGGUAUCUACAGUUAUUUAUUUCUCGCCGUGGCCACAAAAGCGAACGAAAACUAUGCUCUAAACUUUUUCACUCUUUAUCUUUAUUCACUUUAUUACCCGCGGCUACAAAAGUACGCACUCUCCGGCGAUUCUCUUUUUCAAUCGCCGCCCGAAUACUCGCAGUGCUGUUCCUCUCCCAGACACAUCUUCCCUUUGACCGUAUCCGGUAUCCCCCACAUAAAACAAGUUCUCUCUCUUAAAAAAAAAAGAAAUAAUAACAUGAAUAAAUUAAUAAUAAAUUAUUAAAAAAGCGGGAACAAAAAGCGCUCACUAUUUUAUAUAUAGCUGAUGUGAGACGAGUUCCCUCAACAAACCCCACGUACGCCCUUUUCGUCCUCCCCUCUCUCUCUCUCUCUCUCGCUCGUCGUCCUCGUCUUCUUCUUCAUCGGGAGGUUUCAUCUUCCUAAACCCUAAUUCUCGCUUACUACUUACUAAUUCGGUGGAGUCCUUGAUCGAAGAGAUCGAUCGGGAUCGAGCUCGAGAUCGAGAUUCAUGGCCCCCCCCAACACCUGGAUCUCCUUCUCCUUACCUCCGAUCGAAAUGCUCCUCACCCCCUACGCCUCAGCCUACGCCUCCGAUCCGAUCGUCCCUUCCUCCCACCACGACGCCGCUUCGUACCAAUUCCUCUCCCAGGCAAUGAAGCUCGAGGACACCGCCGCGGCGCACGGAUCCCCGCCGUUGGAUCCGUGCAUCGAAACCCUAGCCGACGCCCACGAUUCGUCCGCCUCCUUCACGGGCGCUACCGAUCGGCGCGGCUACGAAGUGCCCUACCCAUUUCUCCUCGCCUCCGCGAGCUCGGAAAUGGCGGAGGAGCCCUCGUCGGUGAUCGGCGGCGCCGCCUCCGCCUCCGCCGGGUACUCGCCGGAAUCCGGCCGCGAAAUCACCGUGCCGUCGUAUCCGCCGCCGCCGCCGCCGAUGCUAGCGGCGGCGCAGCCGCGAUCGGAGCGGAGUGCGGCGGUGGGCUCGUGUAAGAGAACCUCAGCGUACCGAGGUGUUACCAGGUAAUUAUUAAUUUAAUUAGAUAAUAAUAAGAGAAUAAUAAUAAUAAUAAUUAUAAUUAUUAUUAUUUUUAGAGAGCGUAGAGGCCUAGAACGUGAGUUGUUUGUUAAUUUGCACACGUGUGGGAACGUGGGGGCGCAGGCACAGGUGGACGGGGAGGUACGAGGCGCACCUGUGGGAUAACACGUGCCAGAGGGAGGGACAGAAACGCAAGGGUAGGCAAGGUACGCACGUGCCAACUCCUUACGUUUUUUUAAAAAAUAUAGUAGCCGGACUCUAUAUAUAUAUAUAUAUAUAUAUAUAUAUAUAUAUAUAUAUAUAUAUAUAUAUAUAUAUAUAUAUAAUGUGUGAUAUGUCACACUGAACUAAUAUAAUGAGGCAUUCGUAUGAGUAUGCAUUGAAAUUUGAAGCGGUGUUGCAGUAAAAAACUGCGUCAGGCCUUCAGCUUCUUACAUUGAAAUUUGAACUGUGGGUCUCUUUUCUCAAAACUCUGAAGAAAUUUACAAGUAGCUAUCAUACCAUUUUAUUUUUAAAGUUAAUUUGAUAGAAAUCCAACUAGAAACAAAGAAGAAAAGACAUUACCAUAGAUCUCUUGUAAUAUUAUCUAUUUAUAACCAUUAAUAUACUAUUAACAUGCUAGUACUAUAAUACACAAAAUUUUUAUUAAUUAAUGUAUAUUUUUUUUAAGAAUGUGAGACAUAAAUAUUUUAUCAAUAUAUCAAUUACCUACCGAACCGAAAAAUAUGUAAGUAGCAUUAUCGAGAUAAAUGCUCUACUCUGCUUAUUCCAAUAUCUAUUUUGUCGUAUUUAGUUUCAGCACAUUCUUAUUUGUAAAAUAGAUUUCUUGAAUGGAUCAUGUAUAUAAUUCAUUAAAAAUUAAUUUUUAAUUGAGUGCAUAAAUAAUAUUUUUCAAUUUAUAGUUACAGACCCAAAGCACGUUUCAACAAGAAUAAUAAUAAUAAUAAUUUCAAUGAGUAAAGCAUGGAUAUUAGCCUGGUCGAUGAUUGAUGGAUAGUCCUCUGUGACUGUGAGAUGCCGCCGCUCGGUGAGAAAUUCUAUACUAUCACACUUACACUAUAUCAUCAAUAAUAAGUUAAUUAUUUUUUUUCUUUUCAAAUAAAAUUAUAAUAAAAAUAUAUUUUUAUAAUCAUGGUGAGAUAUAUAUUUUUUUUUAAAAAAUUUUUAAUUAAUUUAUUACGUUCACGUUACUAGUACAUCUAUUGUAUUUCAAAAUUUUAUCCGUUCGGGGGUUGGUGGAGAAGACAGUGACAGUGCAUGAGUUAAGUAGAGCUGACUGUGCAAGCCGUAUCCAAGCUUAGGAAUGCAAGAGUUAUAGUGAUGAUGUGAUAGUGUCAAUCAACUAAAUUUAUUUUUUAGAUUUAAUUAUAUUUUUUAAAAAAUAUUUUUAUAUAUAUUUUUUAAAAAAUAUAAUUAAUUUAAAAUAGAUGAUGUGGUGUAAGUAUUGUAUAAUAAAUUUUUUCCAUAUGAGGAGGAAUUAGUUUUAUUUAUUAAAUAAAAGAGAGGGACUAGUUUAUUUAUUUAGUACUCAAAAAAAGAAAAAUGAUUCGCCCCCGGCCCUUUUCUGAUAGCUGUUUGGAUCCCACAUUGGUGGUGGGUUCAACUUCAACCUCAAACCCGUCAACACAAACGUUCUUUCAAAUUGGGCUCGUGGGGCCAGCCGGAAAGUAAAAAAAAAAAAAUUAACAAAACAAAAUCAAAACCCACCCAUAUCCAAAAAGGUUACGGAUGUUUGCUCCAGUCGCACCACUUGUUGGGUGAAGUGAAAAGCCUAGCUAUGGCAUAGGUGGAAGCCUAGUAGCGUUUAUUGGUCCUAGGAUCGAAUCAGGGAGGAACUCGGUCGUCAAAGUCUCCGUCAUAAAAAAAUUGAAACGGAAAGAGCCAUUUGGGCUUUAGAAUGGAUAGAACAUAGAUAGAUAGAUAGAUAGAUAGAUAGGAUAGGAUAGAUAGAUAGAUGUGGAUGUUGUGGAAGCGGAUUGUGGGGUGAUGUGACGACACAUUGCUACGAGCAGAGACCCUCGAACUCAUCAGUUCGAGUCCCGUGGCCUCUCCAGCCCCUCCAUCCCUCUGCGGCGGAUGCAGUUCUCUCAGUAGUAGGCGAGGGGGUCCCAUCAAUAUAUGUCUUUGACCGAAUUAAAGUGAGCCCCUCGUAAGAGCUUCUUCUCCUUUGUAUGUGUGCAUUGACAUGCAAGCCAUCGACGACGCACGUGAUUAGCUCGAAAACAGAUUUUGAUGGUUCAUCUAAACUAAUAUGGUUUACUUUUCUGGGUGAUUAAAUUUCAGUUUAUUUAGCAUGGUUGGCCUGUUAUUGAAUGUUUAGAAUCAGGGCCGGCUCUCUAAUUUUCUCGUGCUACAGAACGGCUUACUUCUAAUUUUUUCACUCAAAUAAAUUAUCACUGCUACAUCUUGUUUCUAUUAUUUUUGCGGCUAUUAUCUGCCUUGUUACAAUUAUUCUCCUCAUUGCUGUUUGGUCUCAUCACUGCUAGCUUUUUUUUGAAAUUUAUUUUUUCUAUUUGACUGAUGUGAACUCUUAAUUUAUUUUUUGCAUGUGGCUUACCUAAUCUCUGACAAAAACAAUUGUGUGUAUGCUUCAGUUUACUUAGGUAAGUUGCAACUCUUUCUAUUCGGUUUCUUUGAAUUUUGUUUUAAGAACUCUUUGGUUGUGAAGUCGAGUUGUGGGUUAACUUGAAUUCAGGUGGCUAUGACAAAGAGGAAAAGGCAGCAAGGGCUUACGAUCUCGCAGCUUUAAAGUAUUGGGGUCCUACUGCUGCUACAAAUUUUCCAGUAAUUAACUUAAACACUUACCUGAAUUUCUUUUGUUUGUAUAAGCAAGAGGUACAAUCCACAUGGUAGGCAAGUCAAUAAGGCUGUAUUUCUCUCGGCCACUUUUUUUUUUUUUUUUUUUUUUUUUUUUUUUUUUUUUUUUUUUUUUUUUGUGGGAGAAGCUCGCUACCCGCUUUAUUUCAUUGAGAAAGUGAAUUACGGUACAAGAAUGAGACAUGCAAGGCCUCAAGAAAGAUGGAAAAAAAAAAUAGUAUUGUUUUCAAGAGUCCUUCGUAAUUUGUACUGUCAUCCUCGUGGGAAUACUGGUGAAGAGAUCUACUCUUUGCGUUUUCAGGUAGAAAAUUAUAGCAAUGAGAUUGAGAAUAUGAAGGACAUGACGAAGCAAGAAUUCAUAGCAUCCUUACGAAGGUAACAGUCAGAUAUUUUUAAUACACUGUCAUAAGUUGAUGCAGUUUGCAUGCCCUCAUAUUGGACUUAAAUCGGAGUGUUGCAGAAAAAGCAGUGGCUUUUCAAGAGGUGCUUCCAUAUAUCGAGGAGUAACGAGGUGAGUCAAAAUUUAUCUAUGAGAAAAUUGCAGAUAAAUAUCUUCUAUAGUAGCGCGUCCAUUAACUUUAUAUUAACCUUUUUUUUUCCCCUCUAAUAUGCCUAACGAUAACCGCCUCCCUUAAAACUGUUAGGCAUCACCAACAUGGACGGUGGCAAGCGAGGAUAGGCCGGGUCGCAGGCAACAAGGAUCUCUAUCUAGGAACUUUUGGUAAGCUGCUGCAGGCCCUAUCAACGUACCAGAUCAUCAUCAUCAUACUUGGUGUUCUGCUAAUUAAUUAUAACUGGCUUUUCCCACACUUCGUAUAUUCUCUUCAGCGACGGAAGAGGAAGCUGCCGAGGCAUACGACGUAGCUGCAAUCAAGUUCAGAGGAGUGAACGCGGUCACCAACUUCGAGAUUAGCAAUUACGACGUGGAAGCUAUCGCCAGUACGGACCUACCGAUCGGAGCAUCGACGAAACGGACGAAGCUUGCACCCAAAGAAGACGACCAACUCGCGUCCUUCAGCCUGAUUCAUCACCACCCGAACAGCACACCCUUCGGCCCGAUUCAUCAACACCCGGAUCUCAUACCCGUAGGUUUCUUCCCGAAUCUAUUUCAGCUUCGCGCUUCUUGUCCCUUGAGCUCUCUAGCUUACUACACUGUAGGCGAGCCUAACCUGGACUUGCAUAGCUAGGGUUUGUAUUAGCUUGCUGCUAGCAUAAAAACCUACUUAACGUACCGGCUGCUGUAGGGAGUCGACUUCUUCAGCUGACAGCUUUUUAGUUUUCCGCUAAUCUAGUGAGUGCUUUUUGAAUACAUGUUGCCUAUGUAAUUUGUUUGGGACUAAUCUUUUCAGAAACUGUUGGCAAUUUUCCCCUUGGGGCAUAUGCGUGCUUAAUUUGCAGCUUAUGUACACAAAUAGCCAGAGUUUUGAAUGGAAAAUAUAUGUUCGUUACAUACUGGUGUAUUGCUUCACAUCAUCAUGGGAUAAUUGCUUCUCUAAUGCUAAGUAUCAAUGUAUUAUUAUGUGCUUCUCAUCUCACCCCUAGCAUGUAAAUGCCAUAUUAGCUGCAUUUGCUAUACAUUAUUCAUGAUAAGAAGAGACGCAUCAUCCCAAUUAUUAUUAUAUAUAUAUAUAGAGAGAGAGAGCAUGACUACUGUGCUAUUAGAAGUACAUCAGUACUUAUACUUUAAAUUUCAAAUUAUUCGUAAAUUUUGAUGGGUGACAAUCUUUCUCUCACCGUAAUCAUCUAUUAAAAUUGAUAAAUAGUUAGAAACUUAAAAGCACACAAAUUAUUGUGCUCUUAAUAGCACAGUAGUCAUACUCUCUCUAUAUAUAAAUGCAAACACAAGAAAAUGCAGAGAAUGGAAGAACAAAAUAAAAGAUCUAAAAUUUAAAUAUUGCUGCUCCACUUGACGGCUUAGAUGCGAAGACAUACAGAUCGGUUUCGUUCUUGUUAAUGAUACCUCUGUCAAUCCUUGACUGGUAGAACAGUUCCUGCGAUAGGGUACCAAAAAAAAACAGCAUGUAAACCAUAUUGUUCUGCGAAUUAUCUUGCAUUGGAAGAGCGGAAUUAUCUUGAAUUGGAAGAGCGUACUCAAUCUGAGACAUGCGGAGUUGAUAAAACGUACAACAAAAUAGAACAAUGCAACUAGAAAGCUGCAGAAGUCAGUAACUAGGAAGGCUAAGUUUUUUAAAAACCAGUACUGGAAAUAAUCAGAUUAUCAGAGACCUUAAGCAACAUUUCAGUGAAGCAUUUUCUAUGGGCAACUAACCUUUAACUUGAUUAUAAACUGGGAAACGAUACUAUCUUUAACCAACGCGACUGCACAACCGCCCCAACCAGCACCUGUAAGCCUCGCCCCCAGCCCGCCAUUAUCUCGACAGGUUUUCACAAGCUCUUCCAACUCUGGGCAGCUGUAAAGGGAAGAUGAUGUUAAAAAAGAUGAAUGCUGAUGGUACAGCUUUGAAAUGUUCAAGAAAUCAUACAGCUUAGCUGGUCCCUUAUAUAAGAAACUAAUCUAUUUAAUAUGAACCGGACUGGUACUAGCGAGUUCACUUGCAGAAAUUACCAUCCAGAUCUAGUGUAACUAGUUGACAACAAUAAAUAAUUUGGUUUUUGAAACGUACUGUUCUUUUAAGUGCCAGCAAAACAAUAGUACUGGUCAACUGACUAAAAGAAGAAUAGAGGAUAAAGGCCUUGCAAUAUAGCAUGAUUGAAUGGUGACUAUGAAUGAGGUGGCUCAUAAGUAAUACCUGCACUCAUAAAGAACACUGCAGCUAUGGUGGCUCUCAUUCAUGAGAUCACCAAGUUUGCUGAGCUUGUCAUCAUCACUGCAAAAGAUAUUAAGGGAAUUAGACAUUCAGCAUGCUAAUCUGCAAGGCCGAUCGUUGUUUCUCGGCAUUAAGAUAAUAUGUCACAAAUGGAAGGGAACCAUCUACAAAAAACGAAAAAAAAAAAAGAGAAUGGAAAGGAGAUGCAGAGAAAAGAAAUUAGUAAUCUAUCCUUUAUACUAGGCAAGGAUAUGUACAAUGUAUUUAAAACUACAAUGGAGCGUUGUUAUGCGCACCAACUCUCUAAGCAUUAGGGUAUCUCUGUAUUAACCUAUUUUCUUCUUUUUUCUGUAGUCUCAAAGUAGAUAUUAUGUGUCACCAAUUUCAAGAUAUACUAUGUCAUUAUUUCAUUCACAAACGAGGUUGUUAUGCCAUUGCAUUAAUUCUUUUUUCUGUAGUCUCAAAGUAGAUAUUAUAUUUUACCAAUUUCUGUAGUCUCAAAGCUAGGUUGGAGGUGUUGAAUAUUCACCUGAGUUUUGCUAAAACAGUAUCCCUGAACGCAUAGACACGCUUAGCUUCAGAGUAGACGUGGGAGGCCCGCUGGGAAUAAUCAUAAUUUAGUACCAAAUUAGAUAAUUGAGAAGAUAACUUACUUGCAUCCACAAUAACUAUUAUGCAGAGGGAACAAAGAAGAGUAUAUGCAAAUGGCAUUUCACCAUGUAAAUCUGCAUCCUGUGUUACUAUUUUCUUUUCCUCACAUGUUCCCAAUAAUAAAAUGUAAAUGCUAGAACCAUCAUAGACAAAUUUCUCUAAUGAAUAAAAGAUCAUGAAUGGCAACUUCAGGAGAGAAGACAAUGAAUCACUUCAAAACACAGAAUGAAAAGUAUAAUAAAGAAGACGAAAAAAGAGAAUCACCUGAAAUAGCUUAAAAUGCUUAGCAGCUUUUAGCACAUCUAGUGAAGUAGCUGAAUUUUUUAGGAUCGAUGUAAGGGGCUCCAAUAUUAUCUUUUCAAUAUCUUCUGCAGUAUAGGGCUUCUCAUUUAGGAACUCCUGCAUAAAUGAAAUGAUGUUCUUUCAAUAGAUAGCUACUAAUAUUGCCACAAAAGAGGUUUAUUCACUAUUCACCUAGCUAAGAGAAAUAAUCUAUACAUAGAAGCAUGCAAAAAGAAAGAACAGAAGUACAAGUUGAUUGCAUUCAAUUGCAACCAAAGAAUUAUCAAUGGAUUGAUUACUUCACGAUUCUAAAGGUAACAUAAUGUACAGGGUAUGCAUGCAAACUAGUUUAAGGAAAGAGAGAAAGCAGUACCUUCACAGCAACUUGAGGAUCGGCGGAUCCACGACUCUCAGCGAAUGAUAUGCACAACUGCUCAACAUCAGAGAGGGUUUUCACUUUCAAGAUUGCUUCAUUUGGCUUCAUUCCUAGUUUUAUAGCAAGGACGAUCUGCAGUGAGUAGCGCAGGAAACUAUUUAAGGGCUACAAACUCAGUACUUCAUUAUCUGAAAGAAAACUUGCAAGAAAUUUUUUUGAAAACAGAUGAAGACCAGCUAGACAUAUCCAACGCCACUAGCAUAUCUUAUGUCACCACCCUCUCUUAAAAAUCUCUUUGCCUUCCUCUCCUUUCUGGAAAUAACUUUAGUACUGAACUUGCAAAAAUGAAAAACUUCAUUUUGAGAGGAAAGAAAAGCUUACAGCAGCCAAGCGACAUUCCACAACACGGUUAUUAUAAUUCGUUGCAGCAGUAACUGCUUUCUGAGAUUCUGCAAGUGAAUGGGCAAUAACAAAUGUCCCACCUGCUGGAAGUUGCACGUCGCUUGCCCGGAUUGGAUUGAAAUCUAUUAGCUCAGCAUAUCCAGAUUUUGCCAUGAUGGAGAUCGCCUAUCAAAUAGAAUAUUUCAGUCGAAGUAUUAGAGACAAUAAAUGGACUAUCUCGCUCAGUAUGUAAUAUAUCUAGCGAAUUAAGUAUAAUUGGUUGAUGACAUCAAAAUCACUUAUAUGCCAGUUUCAAGUUGCUAACAGUCAAUUCUGCUUCUUUCUUUGUUCCCUUCAAAUUUGACUUGGCGUGAUCAAAAGGAUAGGUCAGUGUUACUUUACCUGGUCCAUGCCUCCUGAUUGUGUUCCAAUGUGGCGUUCACAGUCACAUGUAAGCUGAGCAAUCUCUUUCUGCAAAAAAAGAAUAAAAAUUAGACUAAUUUGAACUUUCUAUUAAAAAUAAAUUUAUGCAAAUCCACCGUCUGUAUACCUCCUCAUCAAUUGGACCUGUCUUUUUGCGUACAUAACAAGAUACAAGGAGAAAUAAAUAGAAAUAAUCCAGAACAGAAUAGUUCUCUCUUUUGGACUUUUCUAGAUGAAUUCUCUCUUUUUGAAAGCUUCCAGACAAGUUAUCAAUUGCUUUAUCUUAUUACUAACCUGACAUUCGGCAUUCAAACAGUAUGAAUUGGAUGUUCGGCUGUUGGAAGUUUAACAUGUAAAUCAGAACAAACAUAUCAUUUUCAUGUUGCCAAAGGCUAGAUGAAACAGAAAUGACCCCUAAAUAUGUAAUGAUGAUCAUGCUAUUUUUGAAUGAAAUGAAGAAAGGUGCAAUGUAUUACAAGGGGUACGCAAGGAAUAACCAUGAAGGGACGGGAGGCAUUUGAGGCAAGUUGUUGUGGAUAAAUAGAUUCCAAGGAGAGAGGAUGACAAAGCUUUAAGCAAAGACAACAAGAUAUCCUAAUUGUUUGGUCCACUUAGGAAAAAUGGAUAACCUAAUAAUCUGGGAUUCGAUGCUCCAAACUAGACGUGACUUGCUCUUCUCAAUAUAUUGCCGAAAAAGAAUAUGGUGGUUGAUUAAUAUAUUUUCUCAUGUUGCACAUUCUUCCUGAUGAGUGGUGAUCUUUCAUAAGCAUUUCUCGUAACUAGAUGUAUGCCGUGCAUUAGAGACAGCAGCAUAACCUAGUCAUAAAGAGCUUGAUCAACUAUCAACCAGAAACAAGAUAAAAGUAAUAUAAGAAAAAUAUAUGUGAAGCUAGACAUUUAUGGUGUGGCAUCAGUCACAGAAGAGCUAACCUUUGGAAAAUUCAUGUUGAAGACAGCCAUGAUAGCUAUGGUUGCUGAACAAACAAAUGCUGCCGAACUUGAAAGUCCUGACCCUACAAUCAAACAAGAAGUAGAGUAUCCCUUGAUAAGAGACAUUAUAAGCAGACAUUACUGAACAAAAUGGUAAAGAGGAAAAGCAGUGAAACAUAAAAAGCCAUUCAACAAAAAAUGCUACCUGUAGGGACAAUUCCAUCGACAAUUACAUCAAGGCCAACUGGCGGACCAACAUCUAUUCCUUUCGACUUAUCAUAUUCAUAGAAUCCUUUGUAUCUGCAGAAGAGGAACAUUUGUUAUGUGUACACAAUACACAGUUGUCAAAAGAUCAAAAGCCCGUAAUAGCUUACUGUUCACAUAAUAAGAAUAAAAAUGAACAGCAGCUUCAUAAAUACCAAGUUCAAUCGUACCCACAAAUAAAAUAAUGGCCCCAUUUGUGGUUCUUCAAAUCAACCUCCUACACAACAGAACAUGUUCACAAAAGCUAUAAGAAAUGCUCAUGAAAGAAAAGUUUUCAUAAUUUAUCACUCAAUAUUCACAUAAGAACAACACCAAAGAUCCAGCAGAAUGGAAUGAAUGAUAUUUGAAUGAAACUAUGUUCAAGAAAGAGUGCAUUUGUUUUGAUAUUUUUACAGAAGAACAAUAGCUUGGCUCCCACAAACAGUUUCCUCUAUAACCAUCACGCAGAACAAAAGGCCAAACCCACAUGCUUUUGUAGAAACUUUCUAGUAAUGGAUAAGACCGGGGAAUGGUGGAUUUCCAUCAAGGAUUUAAGUACCUAUCGGCAUGGGCCGUAUCUACCGUAGCAUAUCGUGCCAAUAAGAUGCCGGUACGAUACAACCUCUGUGCCAAUGGCACAGUUUAAAAUUUUUUUUACUUUAAAUUAGUAAGUAAUAUUUUUUAAUAAAAUUUAAAAGAUUUGAUAAAAAUAUAUAAUAAGCAACUAGAAAAUUUUGUUCCUAAAAAAAAAAUUUUUUUAUAUCAUUAUGUGUCGACACACAUGCAUUUUUUUGUAACCGGCAUGCAUCGGUACGGCCCAGCACGCACUGUAUCGUACCAUGCUAGCAAGUUUACGGUACGAUCCCUUGUCACGGUACUUAAAUUCUUGGUUUCCAAUUUAUCUAAGGCAACUUGUCAUCUCAUUCUUUCAAGUUAACUGGCAGGCUGGUUGGCCACGGCAUAGGUUCACACUAUGAGACUAAAUCAAAUCAAUGCCACUCAAUAUCCAGUUGAAAGAUCCAUGAGCAUAUUAAGUCUUGGAAAUCACUUAGAUUGAUUAACAGCCUUUAGAAUCUAUUGCAGGUGCCCACAACUAAAAUUUCCUUGAGCACUAGUAGGGAAAAGAACUUGCGAAACGAGACAAUUAAAUAGAUAUAUGAGAAGAAGGAACAUGUUAUAAAACCUUGCAUAGGAACAUUUAGUCAAUCUCACAUUUCAAAUUUCUUGUCAGCUUGAGUUUCCAGUUUAAUCACAUGAAAGCAACAUUCGGAACCAGAAUUGCAUACAACAUGCAUAGAAUUCUCUAUAUUUGCAUGGUCUUUCUCAAACAUCAGUCUGUAUCAUAUUGAUCCUGCCUGUGGGAUAGCAGUGGUGAAAAGGAUAAACUCUUCAGACUACAAUGAACGCUUCAAGAAGUAAAGCUCCUUUUCACUUUUAAGAAAAAACUGCACCAAAAGAUGGAUUGCAUUCAUGCUCUUCUGAUUUGACAUAUGAGGGAAUAAGAGAAAAUACAUCAUAGUUUAAUGGGCAGAAGUGCAAUUGUAGGGCAAUCACGUGAACACAUCUCUUUUGAAGGGUAUUUAUGCAGUUUUCCGAUGGGAAAAAAAUCCAUCAUAAACUUUCGGUAACUAUAUUGUUUUCUUAUCCAAUCGUGGCUAACAAUGGAUAGAUAAGAAACAUGAAAUGGUAAAGUUAUUGUUCUUUGUUCGACAACUUCUAGGGCCCACCAAUUCCAAACAUUCUAAAACACCUGUAAAGUUUCUUAUUCCAACCAGGAAAAAGACAAGAUAAAGCAAGAUUCUAGUCUUUACUAAAGCAAAUCAGUAAAUGAAUCGGCCACAGCUCACAAAUACUGCAGCUAGAAUUUUCCUGAAGCGAUAUUAUUAAACAAAAGAAAACACACUAUAAUUCUAUUAUACCUGAUUGGGAUCAGAAGCGUAUGUGCACAUGGAGUACUUAUCAUUCACAUUUGCGAUCUGAAGCACCUUCGGGGAUUCCUCUGCUCCACGCUUCCUGAUUGCCACGAUCGUAUCCUGCCUUAUGGCCAUCGGAAGGACCGAAUAGCCCUCGUAAUCUAUAUGCUCACCGAUCAAAUUAACCCUACCUAAAAUUCAAAGUAAAUUUCGAUGAAAAUCCACCAAUUCCGUUGACAAUUAAACUGUUUCUGGAUCAAAAGAAAGCAAAUCGGAGAUCGACAACGAAGAAGAACCUGGGGAUCGAGCGUAGACCUCUGGAUGGUGCCCAAACACCUCGGCGAACUUGGAUUUAAGUCUAUCGAAUCGGAGCUUAGCCUCGUCGAGGUGAGAUCCUUCGCCAUAGAUCGGAUCGAGGGAGGAGAAGAUCGGGAUUGGGAGGUCCUCGUGCGCCAUUAGAGAGAGGAGAACGAUUGCUAGGGUUUUCGCUUCGCUCCCCGUUUCCUCAGCUUCCUUCGCUGCGUCGACGAAGAGGAGAGAGAGAGAGCGGGUGGGGAGAGAGAAGUUCUGCUUUAAAUGGCGGGGCGGUGAAGAGGGUCUCGUGCCUAAAACUUGGGAGGCGGGAACGGCGGGAGAUCAGGAGACAUCUGGACCGUUGAUUAAGGCAACAGUUGGACGACUGUGAUUAGUCUCAAGUUUUAUAAACAAACGGUUCUGCUAAGUGACCACGUGGCACUCUCUAUGUGGCCAGUGGCCCGCACAGCAUUCAAUUUAUUUUUUUUAUAAGGCGUGGCGCGGGAGAUCAAUGUGGACGUGGAUAAGCAUGUAUACAAAAAAUUAAGGUGGUGAUGGAAUACUAUUGUAAAGCCCUGCACUAAUUAGCCAAUUUCCUCACUAAGUUUUUUUUUAAAAAAAAUAAGGGAACUAAUUGCAAAUACAGUGUAAAACACAAAGAAGAAAUAACUACUCGAACAGCCCCUGCUCCGCAGAACCUUUUCAAUGCGAUACACUCAGACGUUAACCACGAUUCUUUCAUACAGUAUCAAGAGGGGCAAAAAAAAAAGAAAAAGAAGAACGCAAUAGAGUAGCUGCAGAUCUUCUUUUUUCCGCAAUAAAAAAAACAUAUUUUGUCACAGCACUGGAUGAUGAGCUACAGGAACAGACAAGAAGAUCUUUAAACAAAAAUAGUAUUUAUGAAACAUUAUUUCCUGUCCUAGAAGGGAGCAAGGACAUCCAUGGCGCAUAAUUUAAAAGUUUUUACGAUACGUCACAACGUUUGUUGAAGCCAAACACUCUACUCCUUCAAUUGAGGGGCAGAUUCAUCCUUAAGAGCUGGUUUUGUAGUGGCUGCUUCGAGCGUGUUAUAGAACUCCUCAGGAAGGGGGCCGGGUCGGUGCUGAGGGACGUGUUUGGGGAUUGGGGCGUCGUCUUCAAUGACCUCACAUUGGUAAUCCUCAGGAACACCCCAGGGAUCCCACUCUGCAGAUUAGAAAGAGGUUAACAAGGAGAGUAAAUUUCCAUUCCUUGUAUGCCAACAGGAAAAAGGAAAAAGAAAGGCUAGGAAUAGAACCACCAUGAAAUUAGCAAAAGAAAUGAUAAAUCAUUUAAGUGGAGGAUCCCUAUAAACGCAGAAAUGUUAAAUAGUCAGUGAUGUCGCCAUCUAGCUGGUCUCUACAUACAUUAUAUGAUCUCCCCAUCCAAAAUGGAAGCCCAACAAUGUGAAAAAGCUCCUCGUUAACCAGUGUGUUGUCAGGUACUACUAAACCUUAUGAAUAUGAAAGAACAGAAGCAUUACAAUAAUUAACAGGCUCUGGAGUACAUAGGGCAGCAAUAAUCCAAUUUAGAUGAAUUCUGGUUGGGUCUACCUCCAAGCUGGUUAAUUUUUCUCAAAAGAACCAAGCUCAUUUAACAUUAAAUUGGGAAAAGGUAAAUAAGCAGCCCUAUCUGGUAGAGAUUGCUGAGUCAAAUUGCACUCCCAAGAAUUCAUGGCCUGAUGUAAACCCAGCUUGCACCAGGUUAACAUUUCAUGCUCCGGAUAGACUGCUUUAUCAGAUGUGUUGGGUAAACAGGUCACAUUGAGUUGGGACAGUCUAAUCAGGUCCUUCUCUGCGACCCCUUGUUGUAUCAUCCUUUAAACAUAUUAUAAGUCUAAUCCAUCACCUUGAGAUCUGCUUGACCUUUUCCUAGUAAUGAGAUUAAAAUUGUAUAUACAACUCACACCACUGCAGCAAUGAGUUGCUUAAGUUAGUGCUCCUAAGAAGCUCUCAUCUAAAGUACAUAAUCAGCAACAAUAGCCAAAUAAUACUCUAUAAUUCUAUAUAAAGGUUCGGCACCAUUUGUGUCAUGAUAUUUUAGCUAUGUUUUAAGAUAAUAAGGUUGUUCUAAAUGGUUAGCCAGAAAAAAUAAAAUAAAGAUUGCUGCUUGUAAGGUCUCUUUUCUAUCAGCCACCUCUUUUCUAAUUCUUUUUCCAGAACAAAAGUAAAAACUUACAGAAUAUUAGUUCUAUCCAUACGUAUAAUAUUGAAUCCAGUGUGAAGAGUCAGUGAGCAGAAAACUGAGAACUAUUCCAUCUCAAAGUUGGCUGCAGGGGAGCUACUACACGAAGAGAAUUCCCUUGCUUUAUAAGCAUAAACGUAAAGCUUCUUACCUUGUAUAUGAGAUGUCUAGACGGCCAUGCUUAUGUUUGUUCAAUAGUAAAAUAAAGUAUGGCAGUUCUCCUCUACAUUCUCAUCCUUUCUCUCCUUUUCCUUCCAUCUUUUUCCUCAAAAAUUGUAGAUGUAUACAUUCGGGAGCAAACAAGAAUUGGAUAUUGUCUUUCUCGACAGAUCUAUAGUUAUCAAGUGUAACAUCUCUAUGACUUCAAAAUGGAGAAUCAAUAUGUCAUCAGAAUCCACAAAUCUAUUCUACAGUUUCUACUGGGCGGGGUCGGCAAAAAAAAUGAGAGGAAAGGCAAGCAAACCCUCAAGCAUAAACAUCAAUUGCAUAAGCUAAAUAAGAUGGAAACAUAGAAAACAUGAUCAAGAUUCAAGAGAUGAAAAUGUAGAUGGAGGCCACACAGGUUCCAUAUACAAAAAAAGUAUAACCCUCAACACGUAUCAAUAUCAAGGUGAGUCAUUGUCCAUUUGAUUGUAUGGAUGAAAUGAUAAAAGAAAACUUAAACAUAAUAAUAAAAUAUUAGGAUCUUAGCAAGAAGAUAUUACUGUAGUAAUUAUAUGGCCAGGCAGCCAAUUCAAAGUUUUUGACACUUACAUCAUAUAAAACAAGUUUGCCUAUAACGCGGUUGGACCUGACACUACAAUUCAGUUCCUUUUUUCAUGUCAAAUAAUUGUGGGCUAACUCAUAGAACAAAAGUUAUGAAAGAAUAUGUGAAAAGAUAGAUGGCUAUGCAACUUCGCUCUGAUUUGCUUAAAUCAUACAAUCUUCCAUUCUAUUUUUCAAUCUUCAGCAAGAAUUUAUUCCCUAGCACAUGUAAUGUAUUAAUGCCAUAUUUCUCAUAGGAUGACCCAAAUAAAUUUGUCUUGGCAACGAGGAAAUAGAAUGUUGGGUACUUUAGUGCUUCACGCAAUUUGAAUUGUUUACAUUCUUAAGCAAACAAUAAUUGGUCGCUUACCAAAGAGUUUUAGAUAUUAUAAAUAGUUCCUCACCUCUUUCAUUAAGCAGGAUGAUCCACAUCAUGAAAUUAGAGCCUAAACUAUAUGGAAAAAUAUGGUUACUAAUCCAUCCACUUCCAUCUCUUGUUAUGCAACCCUCUUCACCCUUUCCAAUCCUUGUGCAAAAAAGGCGUGCGCUCCUCCAAUAGACCAUUAAGAAAUUCGAUUGGUAUUACUACUGGAAAGAUAUGUACAUUUAUGAUCGAAUUUCUAGAACCAGAAAAUAUUGUCACCCCACACCACUCGUUUAGUGAAAAACCAAUCCACGUGCACUAGUUUCUAACAGCUACAAAUCAUAGAGAAUAGCUUAUCACCCUCUCCUUUGAAAACCUCAAAUCAAAGCUACAGUUCAGUAGAAAUGGUAUAUCUGAUCUACCUUUCUAGGUCGAAUACUCGUCUCUACUCUCUAUUCCGAUCUAAUAUAUGUAAACCAACACGACCAAUCCACAUUACGAACUACCAAAUCAAACCAAAAACUACCAUCCAUCAAAUAGUACAUCAAGAGAUCAAAACGGAGCAAAAUUAAAAGAAAAUGCGAAGAUAGGGGAGCUAGAGCAAACCGAUCAUCUUUGCGAUGAGCUUGAGCUCAUCCUCGGCUUCUUCGAUGAGCUCCUCCACUUGUCCGCAGCCGACGCGCUUCUCGAUCUGCUCCCAAUCCUCUUCUUCCUGGCAAAUGCGGAGGCGGUGGCGCGUGAAGCUCUCCACGGCCUUGCGAUAGCCCUCGUCCUCGGGAACGGCUUGGAUCUCCUUGAGCGUCUUCGUGUAGAGAGAGAUCAGCACCUCCCGCGCGUUGGGCACCACCUCUAACCCUACGAUCCCCGUCGUCUGCUUCACCUUCGCCAUCAUCAUCCCCCCUAACCCCCCGCUCAGAAUCCGCCGCAGAAACAUCUCGCUCUCCCUCUCCCUCUCUGUCUCUCUUUCUCUCUCUCUCUCCCUCAAUUAAUCGAUCGAUCGAUCGCUCUUUCGCGAGCGUAGAAGACGAAGGAGACGAGGGUGUUGAUCGAGGAGAGUGGAAAUGUAGAACGGAGCAGAGGUUCGAGAGACGACGAACGGCGUGGACGAUCGGAUCAUGAUCCGACGGCCGAGAUUGGUUUUGGUUCCACCGAGAAGCACUCGCUGUGCAAAUGGGCUGGACUGGCCCAUUAAACCAACAAAAUUAAUUAAACCGUGGAACAGUCUGGGCCCAUUAACAUUUUCCCAACCUUAACGAUUUUCCAUCUCCAUCGCAAUUAAACUGAUGUAAAUUUAGGUACCUGCGUAAUAAGUAAAAAGUAAAAACACACACGUAUCAUGGGGAUUUUAAAAGCUAUAACUCACAAAUAAAAUCUGAAAACUCUUCGUUUUCUGCGUUGACCUACAAGUUUCCAAAUGUUGGGGACUCUAAACGUUUAGAAAUUAAUAAAUACAUCUCGACUCUUCAACAGAGAAUUGAAUACUAUAAAUAGUUGUGUUUCCAUGCAAUCUCUAAACCAUUGAUCCCUAGUCCAACUCAUGCAAAAAUGUACCGUAGAUACAGCGAACUCACAAUCUCCACAUCCCCAUCUCCAUCCACCACGCAACACACUGUGCGUUUCUCCACUCAGAUUAUAGACACCACCGUGACCAACGAAGCUUCACCCGCUGAGGAUUGGAUCAGGACCGUCCGUGCCGCGCAUUGGGGUGGUCGGAUCAUCGUCGGCCUCGACUGUGAAUGGAAGCCGCAAUACAGUAGGUGGGCUCACAACAAAGUGGCCACACUUCAACUGUGUGUGGGAAACAAAUGCCUCAUACUCCAGCUCUUCUACAUGGACUACAUACCUCAAUCUGUUAAAAAUUUUCUCAAUGGCAACGACGUAAUUUUGGUUGGUGUUGGGGUCGAUGGUGAUGUGACGAAGCUGAGGAAUGAUUAUGGGCUUGUUUGUGGCGAGUCCAUGGACCUGGACCAAUUGUGCAGGGACUAUUUGGGCUUAUUGGGCCAACAACGUUUGGGCCUCAAAGGAUAUGCUAGGGAAAUUUUGGGCCUUAAUAUGGAAAAGCCCAAGUGGGUGACAAUGAGUAAUUGGGAGGUGAGGACCUUACGUGAGGCCCAGGUUCAGUAUGCUUGCAUUGAUGCUUAUGUGUCUUAUAGGUUGGGGUGCAAAGUUUUAGGGAGAAAUUAAGUGAUGAUGAUGAUGAUGGUGAUAAUAAAAAUAAAUAUAAUGGGAUUUGGAAUAAUAAUGUUGGGAUUUGAAUGUUAUGCAUAUAUGUUAGUUUAUGUCAUUUUGCUUGUUGUUUUUGUGGUUUGUUAUUUUGUAAACAGUAGCUUUUGGGUGGUGUUAUCUGCUGUAUUCUUCCUUUUGAUAAUGAAAUUGCCUGGUCUUAUAACAGCAAUGCUAAAAAUAGCUUCAAAAUUAGGUUGGCGCACAAUUGAAGGAUACAAUAGCAUAUUUUUCUGAUUUUUCAAAUAUUCCUGAGUUUAUUUUAUAAUGAUAUUUUUUAAAAAAUUUAGUAUUUAUUUAUGCAUAAUAAUUUAUUCAGUAAAUUAAGUUUUAGAUAACUUAUUAAGAAACAUAAUUAAAUUUUGAUUAGUUCAAAUUAUACUACAAAUAGGACGUACUGGGCCGCAGGCCCGUUAGGUGAGGCCCAGCACGGGCCCAAUUUCACCUCUAAGCGGUGCGUCGUACGGAAAAUGCACAACCUUGCUUGUCGAGUAGAGUAUCCUCUGCUCUCUAAGUAGUGAAAUAACUAGGAAAUAUGUUCCGUACAAAUGAGGGUGUAGGAAUUUCUACACCCUGGGAUCAUCCUACCGCUUAUUACGAAUGGAAUAAAUCCUGACCGUCCGUAUUGGACGGCACCGAUCAAUUCUAGUACUAAUCAGCGACGGGAUCAUACCUAACCACUGAAAAAUUUCGAAUUCCAAGAGAAAUAUACGGCUCCACUUUCUCUGUUUCCAAUUUCCCUCUUUGUCUCUCCCCUCUCUUUCUACAUACACCUUUUCCAUCUUCUCUGUACUCUCUCUCUCUCUCUCUCUCUCUCUUUCUCUCUCUCUCUCGCGCGCGCCCGCGCGCUAAAGGCGUUAAAUAAUCAACAAUGUCGAUCAGUGUGGAGACGCACAGCGACACGCUGUUCACGGUCAUCUUCAACGGCUCCGACGAGAUCCUGACGACGGUGACCUCGUCGGGCGCGGACGCGGAGGCGUGGGUCGCGGAGGUGCUCCGCGUGCACCGCCACCGCCUCGACCGCCUCGUGGUGGGGCUCGACGCGGAGUGGCGCCCCAACUUCUCCGCCGGCGCGGCACCCAACCCCGUCGCCCUCGUCCAGCUCUGCGUCGGGCGCCGCUGCCUCGUCUUCUCCCUCCUCCACGCCGACUACGUCCCCCUCGCCCUCGCCAACUUCCUCGCCGACACCCGCUUCGCCUUCGUCGGCGUCGGCGUCGCCGGAGACGCCGAGCGCCUCGCCGACGAGUGCGGGCUCCCCGUCGCCGACGCCGUCGACCUCCGCGACCUCGCCGCCGAGAGGACGGGGCGCCGCCAGCUGAAGCAGAUGGGGCUCGCGGGGCUCGCCGCGGAGAUCAUGGAGGUCGAGGUGAGGAAGCCCAGCCGGGUGAGGAUGAGCCGCUGGGAUCGGAGGGACCUGACCCUGGAUCAGAUCGGGUACGCGUGCGUCGACGCCUUCCUCUCAUUCGAGAUCGGGAGGAGGCUCUUCGCCGGGGAGUUUUGAGAUCGGGGGGAGCGAUAACGUCUGGUGUUCAUCCUGGUGCUCUCUAAUAAUGGCUGUAGAUAUGGUAUGGAUUUAGGGCCGUACUUUGGAUCUUUGCUGUAAAAGCCCUUCUUAAUCGCGUAGAAGUACAUGUUUUGAUUGUGUGGAAAUUUUAAAGUACAUGUUUUCUAGAUUUGGUGAUGCAGAAGCAUGCCCCUGCUAAGUGCAGACUACAAUGCAGUGUUCUGUUUUUUCACCACCGCCUUUUCUUUUGACAUCUUAUGAUGUUUCCUGCAUUAGAUUGCAUAGAAGCAUGCCCUGCUAACUACAAUGUAGUGUUCUGUUUUACGAUCACUGCCUUCUGAUGAUCCUGUGGUAUUAAAAUCCUAUGUUACUGAUCGGCUUGCAUGCUGAAUGAAUGAAAUGUAUUAAUCUGAAAAGAUUACUCUAGGAUGUUGUUAAUCCGGGCAGGAUAGUGCAAACCAAACGUCCCCCAAGUGAUGCUUUCUGUGUUACAGAUAGUAUAAGUGGCAAUGGAUUUUAUUAGUAUUUCCUAGUUCCUGGCACAUUUUGAGUUUGGUCCACUUGUUCAUAUGAAUUAGGAAAGAGGCACUUAGGAGGCUAUUGAUUUGUUGUUUCCUUUCACUCCUCUUAGUAGAUUUUCAGUGUAACUUGUUGGUGUUUUGGGCUUGGAAUACAUGGGGUUCUGUUCUUACUUCUCAUUUGCAUGAACUAUGAAGCAUGCUCUUAAAGGGGCAAUGGAUCCUCAAAAUUUUUGUAAUGCAUUUUGUGCACUAGUUGCUAGUUAUUUAAGCCAUAAACAUAAAUACGAUGCUAAUGGACAUACGCGCUAGGCAUUAACACAAUUAAUUUACUUUUAAUUGAACAUCUUCAUAUAUGCUAGAGAAUCAGAGUCAUAUUUGUGCAAUUUCUUUUAAUUGUACCUUGCACUCUAAAUUGGUGUUCUCACUCUCCGACUCGUAUGACUUGUUUAAUUAUAUUUGCUAUUUUCAGGCUUUGAAACAAUUUCCCUUUAUAGUUUUCAAGUCAAGAUUUUCUUUCCAAAACAUGCAUUCGUUUCAUGUCUUGUUAGGAACUUUCAAUUCUACUUCCUUUUAUGCAUUUCACCUCGUCACUAUGGGUUUGUAAAGAUACAGCAGUAGUUAGUUGCUUCGAGCUUAAGUUUGUUAGACUGGAAUUAGAAAGAUUGGUGGUUUUCUAAAUUUGAUGAAAGUGCUCUAAGCUUGCUAUGCACUAUGAUGUUAACUGUAUGCAACUAAUGAACAAUUUUGGGAGUAGCUUAACAUCUUUCUUUCUUCAAUGACCAUUUCCAGCAUAGAUCCCAUCCAUUUUACCCCUAAAUUUUCCAUUUUGUUAGAAUGUUAUUUUCCUUGUAUAUUGUUCUUUUGUACAUGAAUAACCAUCUAAAAUUUUAUUCUUUUAGGUUAGGACAAUAUAUCAUAUUCAGCUAACGGAAUCAUGAUUGUUGAUUACUCUCUGAUUCUUCUUACUAACAACUUACUCCCGUUAUAUAGUACCUGUGCCUUGGAUUUUUUAGAGUGCGGAAAUGAUCUACUUCAGUGUGCAAAUAUUUUUUGACCAUCUUGCCCAUACAUUGUAGAAUAACUCACAACUUUCUGGUUAUGGAUGUGAACUUUGUCCAUAAUAUUCUUCAGGGUUUUCCUUAUCAGUGUGUUUUAACAUGUGAAGAAUUGUUUCCUGCUGCCUAUUACAUGCUGCCGGAUCAUCCAGACUAUGUAGUUUCUUAACAAUUAAUUUUUGUAACUGCACUGAGUUCAUCUGUUGUUUUAUGGUCGGAAAAUUUUGUUUCAUGCUUAAAUUACGAGAGAUGGCUUUCAUGAUUUUGCUGCUGCUUCCUAUUGCUACUUCUUGGAGCUUUAGUUUUGCUUGAAUUUACCUAGAGAAUUUUCUUCUCAUUUUACCUGUGGUACACAGUAGAUGUGAGAUACAGUCUCUUUAACCUCUUAAGGGGGAUUUUUUUUUUCUUUUUUUGUUUUUAAGGAUAUAUUUCUAUUGUUGUUUAAAUUAGUUCUUUUUGUGUUGGAUGUAUUCAUCAUGUUGACUUGUUCUUUAUUUCAUUGCUUUUGAUUGGUUAAGAAAUUCUCGUGGCUGUGCUACUCAUGGCUGUGCUACUCAUAUCUAGAUUGAUGCAAAUUACAUUGAUGUGAAUUAUAGAAAUUGGAUAUCAUAUAUGCCACAUGCAGCAUUUUGCUAAAAUUCUUAACUUUGUUUCAAUGUUUCUCUUUUGGAAAUUAUCAUGUCAUUAUCAUAUAUUAAUUGUAUUGCACGCUUAGUAGUGAACAAAGGUUUACGGUGCUGGGCUUGUAUGUUUAAAUAAUUCAAUUUUAAGUUGUUUCCUUGCAAAUGGAAUCUGUCCAUAUCUGAGUUAGUGCAAUUAAAGUUAAGGGUGCCGUUUCAUCCUCAAUGAGGAAUAAUAAAGUCACCUUUUUAGCAAGUAGUUGGUUCGAAAUUAUGAAGAAAUCCACCUUUAGAUAUGUUCAUACGAAUGAAGAUAAUAACGUUCCGAUAUGCUUCAAAAGAACAACUUUAUUUGUAUCCAGUACACGAUAACGCGUCUUUUAUUGCACGCAUAGCUUUUGAAUAAGUGUACAACUGUGCGCAUUGAGUGAGCAAUCUAAUUAUAUUUCUUUUAUUCUUUUAUUAGUGUGCCAAGUCGAAAUUUAGAUAUGUUAUUAAGUGUGCAAGUGUUUUAACUAAGUAUACAACACGGAGAGGUUUUGAAAUAAAUAAAGAGAUUUUGAUAAAUUUUCUGUUGCAUUAAUUGGCUAGUGACAUGAAUACUAAAGGAUAAGCAUUGCACCUUAAGUUGCUUAUUUGUUCGGGUAGCUCACUAAACGCCAUGUACGCAAGACGCGUGAUAUAUAGCAAAUCAUCUAACACGUGCUCAUCUCUUCCCCGUAGAAGGCACCGUUUGUCCCCAGUGUGAGACCUAUGUUUCUAACGCUUAGUGCUUUGCACAAUAAUUUACCUUUUUUAACACCUUCCAUUUGACCCGUGACUCCGUGAUAUGGGAUAUCAAUUUAUUUAUCUAUUUCAACAUCAUAUAUAUAUAUAUAGAGAGAGAGAGAGAGAGAGAGAGAGAGAGAGAGAGAGAGAGAGAGAGAGUACCACAAACCCAUAAUCCUACUCAAAAUUCUAACAUGUACAACUACUUUUCUGUAGACUAUAGCAUCAGGUCCUAGUAGAGACAAAUGAAUUGACCUAAAGCGUGAGACAAGGCAUAGAUAAUAGAUGGCGUAUCAUAUAUCAUAUCCUAAGCAUAUUUCAUGUCCUAGACCACUUGGAGAAUAAUACAAGUUAGUCUCCAGCUAUACUGUAGGCACACAAAAAAAUGUACACUCCUCUCAUUGCAAAAAAAAAAAAACAUCAUGUCCAAUCUCGAAAAUAAAAGUCAAUGAUAAAAAAAUAAGGUUCAAAAUUAAGGUUCAUCCAUCCAGCAGAGAGAAACUGAUAUAGGAUGAUCAACGUAGAAUGGAAAAAAAAAAAUUACAGGAAAAUUUAAGGUGAUGAAUUUAGUGCCUAAAAAAUAAGAAGAAAAGGUGGAGGUCAAGGAGACAUGGCUUGUAGAUUCAGUAACUUACUAAGAUGCAUCAAUAUUAUGGAAAUCUCGUUAAAUUCAGCACGAUAUUUUUUUUUUUUUUGGGAGAUAGGUAUCACGCUACCGUUUCGUUUAUUUCAUUUAAAAAUAAACUUAGCUGUAAAUAUGAAUCAGCUAGGAUUAGAACUUAGGUCUCGGAUACCGACCACCAAGUCCUUAGCCACUUGCUCUAGGGACGGUCGGUUCAGUACGAUAUUAUCAAUGGUAAAAGGCUAGCUAGGAUAAUAUUGUUAAAAACAAAUUAUACUUUUGUAUAGAGACGUUGCACUAUGCAUGAGUAAAGAUGAAAGAAAAAAUUGAAGUCACAGCGCAUAUAUAUAAUGCAUAAUGCUUGCAUCCAUUGCAGGAAUUAGGUACGUGCAAUAAUAGUAAGAACAUUCAUCUGAGAAAUUAACUCUUUGAACGUCACCACAAAGAAUACGAACUAAUUAACAUAAUCUCUGCUGUUGAAAACUAAACUUGUACGAAGUCAACUAUGGAUUAAGAUUCCUAAUAUAUAUAAAUAUAUAUAUAAAAUUAAGCUAAGAUGCUCUAUAAAACCUACCUAACCAAAUGUCUUCUGAAUCAACUACAUUAAUGAAUCCUCGCCUUAUCAUUAAACCAGAACAGGAGAAUGCAGGCCGAUAUUAAUUUGCUCGAAAAUCUAAUUAUAAAAAUCUUUCUUGUGCUACAAGUUGUAAUUGUACAUUAGUACAAAGUAUCUAUAGCCGUAGUUAAGAGUUUUAGAGGUUAAGAGUAACAUGAUGUUAUUAUCUUCUUCUGAUUUUGACAUAUGCAUUCAUCAAAUCAAAUCACUAUUCACCAACUAAAAUUGACGGGGUUUAACACACGUAAUUUAGUACACAAGGCUAGCUAGUUAAAAUCAUCUCCCUUUGUACAAUAGCUACAUGGAAAAACAACAUACAAGUGGUUUACAAUUGAGGAACAAACAUCUCUGCUGUAACAUUUUUGCCUAGCUAUACAUAGUAGCUUCAUUUACUAACUGCCACCGACAUUCCUAGCAAAACCAAAUCGCCUACUGCGAUAAGGACACCUCUCUUCCCUUACCUUCUCUCACUAAACUCGCAUAAUAAAAUAUCAAAAUAUUAAAACCUAAAACCCAGGCGAGCAUUGAGUUUAUGUUCCAAAAUAAAUAAAACAAAGAGAAGGACAAACUUUUAAUUCCUCGUGUAUUUCUAAUUUCCUACAUCUUUAACUCUUCCUGUGAAAGAACCGAGGUAUCCCAGAAGUGUAACACUUUAGUAGAAGAACAUUUUUUUUUUUUUUUUAAAAAAAACCCACUCCACGGACCAUCUCUCUAGCUACCACCAUUCAAUGAACCUGAAAACUCAGCCCUAAAGAAGCGAAGGAAUAAAAAUCCCCCACCAAGACAAAAAGGGCAAAUCUUCAAUAGUUCCAUUCACGCCCACCCAUACAAUAACUCUUUCUCUCUCUCUCUCUCUCUCUCUCUCUCUCUCUCUCUCUGUGCACAUUUCCCACGCUUUAGGUUCAUUCUAGGUGUAAACCUGCCACUCCAUCCAAACACCUUUUUCUCCCAAGAUCAUUCCUAGGGUUGCUUCCAACUUUCUAUGAAUGGUUCGAUCAAAACCCUUCCCUAUCAAUCCCCCACGUGAAAAGCUGCAAACUUGUCCACCACCUCCAUCUACUUCCUCCUCCUCCUCCUCCUCCUCCCCCCACCAUGAAAACCCUAACCCUAAUUCCAAAACUCUUCUAAUAACUGCGUUCUCGCAUACACCAAAAACCAAGCUUUAAAUUAAUGAGUAAAAUUAAGACAACUAUUUAAGGAGGGAAAAAAAAAAAGAGAAAACCCACUAAUAUAAUUAACUGAUCUCUAUAAUACAGAGGAACAGUGUUUACAGCACUAGAAGUACAUCCUAAUCAUUAGCUGGUGAUCAUCUGUGUACACCAAAUGGAGGGCUCCCCACGAACUAAGUCAGUAAAAAUCCCACCCAAAAAAAAAAGGAACUAAAUAAAAUAUAUAUAAAGGAAAGGAAAGGAAAGGAAAUAACACAUACACAUGCAUAUGCAUAUAAUAAUAGCAAUAAUAAUAUAUAUGAAGAGCUAGACGUUAAUUAAUUAGUUACCGGUAGAAGCAGCGGUAUAAGUGAGUAUGCGUGCGUGUGCGUGCUUUACUCCUCCUUGAUCCUCCGGAUCACGUCCGACGCAACGACGUCCUCCAACAGCCCAUCACAGGCGCCGGUGGGCGCGGAGGACACGUGGCGGAAAUCGAGCGGCGGAGGGCGGAGGUAGCCGUUGAGGUAGGCGGGGCGGAGCGGGAGCGGGAGCGCGGGCGGGGGCGCGAAGCCGAGCUCGGCCGCGGCGCCGCGCAGCGGCGUGGGGUGGAGGGCCGGAUGGGCGCCGCGUGGCAGGACGGGGCUGGGGUGGGUGUGGCGCCCCUCGUAGGUGGUCACCACGACCGUCGGAUCGUCCGAGGAGCGCUCGACGCGCUUCUUCACGCCGCACGCCGCGCUGGUGCACCGGUAGUAGCUCCUGCGCGGCCCAAAUGACGAUCGUGCCCUCGGGCGUCAGAAGAAGAAGAAUUAUAUAGGAAGCAAUUUAUUAUUAUUAUUAAAUUAAAUUAAAUUAAAUUAAAGAGCAGCAGCGGUCGUGGUAGUAGCAGUGGAGUGGCAUGGGCGGUAAAUAGGGACCUGGGGAAGGGGCUAUUUUUGACGGCCUUCUGUCCGUACUUGCGCCACCUGUAGCCGUCCUCGAGCUGAUCCACCUCGCUCUGCGUCUUGAACGCGAAUCGCGGCUCCCUCUGACGCUUCUGCCCCUUCCUGAUCUUCUCCCCCAUCCCCACCGCCGCACCCCUAAACAACGAAAUUAAAACACAAACAACCCAUUAAUUAAAACCCCCAAAACUAGCUAAUAACAGUAAUAAUUUGCACAUAAAAUUCAUGAAGGUGAUCGGAUUACUAGCUAGAAACUUCGAGGAGCUUACGCUUUCUCGGACUUCGCCUCCUCCUCGCUCUCCUCCUUCGCGGGCGCGAUCGCAGCGUUCUUAGCUCCAUCGGCGUCGUUAAUGGCCUCAUCGGACGAGGAGGAGAUCGACGACGAGAUCGGCGUCGCGGGGAGGUUUACGGCGUCCGAGGUCUCCGACGCAGCCGCGGAGCACCGCGGCGGCGGCGGCGGCGGAGGUAGAUCGAAGAGGAGCCUGGGGAGGUCCUGUAAGCCGAGGAGCUCGAGGAAGCCGACUGAGCUUCGAUCGCCGACCAUGGCGGCCGCGGCGCCGCCUCCGUCCGCGGCGGAGUCGAAGAUCCCGGAGAGGGUGGAGGGGAGAUGAUCGGAGAAAGGUAAGAUCGACGCCGCUACUUCCAUUUCUUCUUCUCUGUUCCCCAUCGUCAUCAUCGCGGAGAUCGCAUCGCCUUUCUAAUAUGUUAACGUUAGGGUUUUGGUAUCGGUGCAAGAGGCGGUAGCAUAGAAAAAGCGAGAGAGAGAGAGAGAGAGAGAGAGAGAGAGAGAGAUUUUAACCAGUGGUGGAAGGAGCGGGGGGAAAGGAAUAGAACAAAAGGUUCGUGAAAUUUGCGGAUAGCCCCAAUACUGUCCUAAAAUAACACUUGGCCCCUAUACUAAUUUAAUUACACGUUAGAUCUUAAAAUUCAGAAUAAUUUAGAAUUUAAGUUGAAGAUCUACUGUCCACUGCUCCUUAAUUCUUCUCAUCAAUAUAUAUUUUCUUAAACAAAAUGAAAAAAAAAACUUUUGUUGAUUUAUAAUAAAGCCAACAAAGAAUAAAGUCAUUUUAACCGUUAGGACCAGGCAAAGUGUGAUAGUUCGAUCGGCUGGUCUUGCAAUUUGAGAAUAGUUUAGGGACUAUCCAUGCAAUUUACUCCCAGAAAAAAUGAAAACUAUAAAUAGCACCGGGAUGACCGGCGAUCGCAGGUGGUAUUUGGUACGGAAGAGGCGCAUUAAAUGCUGGCGCCGGUCUCGAGAACCUGCUGGUCGGCGCUUUCAGACCUGUCCGAAACCCGCUGAUGCCGGUGCUUUCACCUGCCACGGGUUACGUGUGAACGGCGACCAUUCGCACGUGCCCCGGCCACAAUAUUAUGCCCCAAAAAAUCCCCCCUCACCCACAGGCCCUCCCGUCGCCGAUGAUGUUUCCUCACGGACCUCACACGUGUUGAGCUCCACGAAAGGAUGUUGAUCCAACAGUUGAUGUUGGACGAACGGUAUUCGUUCAACGGUUACUGCUAUUAGAUCUAACUUCAACUGAAAUUUACUAUGUUGAUACAUGAUCAAAUUAGAUUAACCCAAUGCAUAAGAUUUUUUGCUGCAAUAUAAAAAACUGCGACAGAUUUUUAUAAUAUGUUGCUAUGUUGCUAUUUAUUUUUUAAAAAAAGCUUUAAUGUAUAAUAUUUUUAUAUUAUAUUUAUACAAUUAAUAAUUUCAAACUAAAUAUGUUAAUAAAUGAAUGAAUAUUAGGGAUUUGUAGCCUUACUAUCUUAAUAAAUUGCGUACUUGAUGUAAAAAGUUCCAUUUAAUUUGUUUUUAGAGCCCAAAAUGAUCUACUGUAUCGUGGCUUUGCUGCACCGUUUGUGAUGCGAGCUAGUAGGAGAGCGGUUGUGUGAACGGGGUCGCACGAGCUUUUCAAAUUUCCCAUUUGUACGAUCGAUGUUGAAGUCGCACGUGUGGUCCCGACUCUGACAACGCGGAUCGCGUGGUUACACGAUCCCCGCGUCAUCCUCCCCCACCCCCCUCUCUCUCUCUCUCUCUCUCUCUCUCUCUCUCUUUCUCGCAGUACUCCACACACGCCAAUAUCCGCCUAAUAAAAAAAAAAAAAAAACAGAAAAUCACUAUGCAUAAUUAAAAUUUUCGAAUCAUGUUCGUCACGUACUUCACAGAAAAGGAAACAAAUAAUGUAGCGACGACUCAUUGAGAACUCAUCUACGCUGUACUCGUUCAGUUUUACUCGUCUAUGCUGUAGAUAUACAGUUUUAUUACAUAAGAUGAUAGUCAUUAACUUAUAAGGUUUAGAAUUCUGUGUAUAAUAGAAUUAACCCAAAUAGUCCAGUUACUCGGGUUCAGUUUUUUUAUUUUUAUUUUUAUAUUCAAGCUUUUAACUUUAGCAUAACAUUUUUAAAAUAUUUUAGAUAAAUUACUUGCAUUGACUGGUACAUUUAUUUUUAUUUAUACAUCUAUCGUCAAUGUAUUAUCUUAUCUUCUAUUCUACAAUAAUUAUAGAUAAAUCAAACAAAUAUAUUAAUUUCUCCUAAAAGUAACAAUUAGAAUAACUAAUUUUUAAACAAUACGCUGUCGAAAGUUAGAAUUUAAAAAUUCGACUAAAUGUGUGUAAACUAUUAGUGCAAUUUAUGUAAUAAGACCGUAUAAAUGUUAAGAUGAAAUUAAAAUCACUAAAGAUGAGGGAAUUAAUAGAAAUAAAGUAAGUUGCACGAGUGCUUAAUUAAAUGGCGAGAAACACAAAGAUAAAAAAUGGUCGUAUAUAGUAUUCAGUGUCGUGAUGUAUGUAUUCAAUGUCCAUCAACGGUCACUGUUUUGACCAGAUGGCACAGUCAAACCUUCAAUGGCCACUGGAGGAAGGCGUUGUUGGUCGUGAUGUGCGUACAGUGUAUCUUGUUAUGAUUGAUUUGAUUGUGAUUAGAUCUGGACCGUUGGAUUGAUUGAAAAUAUAUUCAAUGUGGUCUUUUCACGAGCUGGUCCCUCCGAUCUUUCAAAUCGGUUAGGUAACGUGAUAUAGACCCCAUUGUUGUCUUAACUAAUUCAUAUGCAAACCACUUUUGCAUUAUUAUAAGCAAAACAUUUUUUCCUUAUCCUUUUUUAUAUUUUGCAUUGUUGUUAUGGUGUGAUACAAAUGGAGAUUCCGGAUUCCCUCAAACUGUUCGGAUUUGUUUAAAUUUAUAGUCUACUUAUAAUUAAAUUAAAAUAAAAUUUUAAAUUUUAUGAAUUAGUAAAUAAAAUAAAUCUUAAGUUUAAAAUUAAAAUAUAAACUGUAACUAUUAUUACGUUUGGAGUACGCGAUAAUGGUGCAUUUUAUAUACAUUAGGUUUUAUUGUGCAUUGGUUAUGUGUGUGCUCUGGUACGGUCGAUCGCUGUGGUGGUUUUCCGUGCGGUACGAAGAGAGAGACACUUGGCCGGAUUGCAUGCACCCAGUGCAGGUGCAUCUGAGAGAGACAAUAUCAAAUUAAAUAAUAUGUUAUGAAUAAUAAAUUUUUCCGUGAAUUUUAUUUUAUUUAUGUUAUUUAUUUUUUAUAUGGUUAUGCUAAUGAAUUCACUAAAAAGCUUGCGUUGGAACAAUAUUUUUUAUUUUAUUUGUAUUAUUUAUUUAUAUAUUGUAGGAAUGCUUCUCUCAAAUAUCGUUUAAAAAAUAUUCUUAUAUUAAAAUUAUUUUGUAAUGAUUCUCAACACAAAUACUGUUGAUAUAUUGUAUGUCGACGUGUACUAUCCAAACAGUCAUUCACAGCGAAAUUUUGAGUCUGCAUGAAGAGAUUUCAAAAUAUACAUAUUUUAGUACAUAUAAUAUUUUUGCACUUUGCAUAUUAUUAAUUUACCAUCUGCAUAUUGAUGGUAUCAGAAAGCAAAAUCUACGUCAGAUGUUGUAUUUAAAAUUGGAUAAGAUAAAUAUUGUUUUAACAAAAUUUUGUUCAAAAUAAAAAAAAAAUUAUUAAUAUUUUGGGUACGGCAUGCGUACAAAAUCUUAGCCAUCUAAAUUGUAUUAAUCCAAUUAUAUAUUAUAAUUUAGUUGACCGAAUGACAAUAGUAUACUGAUAUGGCAUUGUUGCAGUAGAUAAGAUAAGAUAGUGGUUGAGAUAUCAUGCUAUCGUCACCUCGGCAAUAUAUAUUAAUCAAAUCAAUUAUAUUAAACUGUGAGACAUUACUAUAACAUAUCAAAACAUUUGAACCAUAAUAACAACAAAUUCAAAUAUGAAUUCCGAUAUUUUAUGCUGAAAAAUGCUAAUAUAUUUUAAUCGUGAAAAAUAUAAAAACCACAAUAAAUAUUAGAUGUAAAUUUAUUAUAAGAAAAUCAUUAUUAUAUUAUAUAUUAUAUAUAUAUGCAAGAGGAGAAAACUAGUAAAUUAUGUUUCGUGAAGCGACCUCGCCACAAUUCACGGCCACGGUCGCACCUGUCCCUCGAUUCGAUUUCCCGAACCCAAUGAAUCCCGUGCGGGGGUUCACACGUGUACCGAAUACUCCAUCUGGGCCGUCCGCGUGUUUUGAUCUGACGGCUCUCCGUCGCGUCCGUUUUCUGUUUUUAUUAUCUUUUUAUCCAUCUCGAUUGCCGCGUCGCUUUCUCUCCAGUAAAUCACUUGCUUGCUUCGCACGCUCCUAAAAUUUCGCUCCACUUGUAAAUUUUUGUCCACAUUAUUAUUGCUAUUUUUUAAAAAGAAAAUGGCAGCUUUUAAAAUAGAAGCAAUUACUUACAUAUUUUUUAAAAAUUUCGAAUUUCGAAUUCUUUCUUACUAUUUUAACAUUUCAAAUUAUUUCCAAUAAUCUAUAAAAUUAAAUUUUAUUAGAGCACUGUUAGCAACGACCGUUAUCAUUAUAAAAUUAUUAUUUUGUCUUUUUAAAUAUACCCUCCCACCGUAACAUAUUUCUUUAUUCGCCCUUAAGAUAGAUACAAAAGAAAUAUUUUGAGAUUUUAUCUUUUCAAAUAUAUUCUUUUAUCAUCUCCAACUUUCUUAUUUAACCUUAACAUAAGGGUAAAAGAAAUAUUUUGAUUUUUUUAAGUAUGGUAGAAAUUUAAUUUGAGUUUAAUCCGAAAUAAUUUAACAUGUACUAACAACAAAGGUAUUUUUAAAUAACAGAAAACUAUACGAUAUAAAAAUAACGAGAUAGUGAAAUUUAGCAUGCAUUUUUUUAAAUCUAUUUUUCAAUCAAAUUAUAACAUUAUUUAGAGAUUAAAAUAGUUAGAAACAGUUUUCUCAAAAAGAAAAAAAAAGAAAAGAAAAUGAGAGUUAUAAACAAUUAAGCGAUUGGUAUUAUUUAUUGAAGCUGUUGCUUGGUGGGCAAGUAAAGCAAAAAGGAAAACACCAAAUUUCGCUUGUGAGGAGAUAUUUUUCAUUUUGCCAAUGUUAUUGUCACCCAAAAUUAUCAAAAUAAGUGAAUGAAAACGUUGAUCGUUGACCGUAGACUGUAGUUCCUAGUGUCACUAUCAAAGGUUCAAAGCUCAGGUAGCAUCCAACCAUGUAUGCUUUGAUAAAAUCUAUUCGCAAAAGCGCUAAUAUGUUUAAUUAAUUGCAAUUUUUUCAUUAGUUCUCCAUAACAUCAAACUAAAUUAUAGAACAAAAACUACAUUUUGUUCUAUAAAAAUAAACCAUUUAUAUUAUCAUUUUUUUUCUCUCUUUAUUGAUAAUUGGUAAUAUAUAUAUAACAACAUAAUCGAUAUGAAACAAAAAGCUGAAUUAAUAUAUGCUUAUAUUUAAAUUGUUUAAGUUGUUCAGAAAUCAAUUGUUCUAUACUAUACGAAAGCGCUGUGCUAUUUGUAAAUUCCAUUGUACUCAUUUAUUUAAUUCAAAAGCUCAUCUAUCCAAACUAAUACUUAUUAAUGAGUCUCACACGAUCAUUUAUUCACACGGUGUAAUUUUUCUAGACUUUUAGUGGUGAUGACCGUGGAAAGCCUCUGGCCUAGUGAUUUAGGCGAUGAGGUGAAUUUAGUAUAGAAUAGGUAGAUAGCCAAAAAGAGCCCCAAGCCUAUGCGUAUCAACAUGACCGGACUUGUUGACUGUUGGUGGAUCAUUUGGACCGUCAGGAAUGCGGCUAUCUUUUGUAAGAUUCAGCCGACCCCACACUUGCAAUUUACAAGAUUAAAUAGCUGAUGAGUCGGUAGGAGCAAUAUUUCACAUCUCAGAAGCUGUAGCAAGUUUUUUUCUUUUUUUCUUUUUAAAAAGGAAUCUUUUCGAUGCAUGAGUUGUUUUAUUUCUGUAGCUUAGUUCAUAAUUUUAAUGAAUGAAGCAAAUAACACGUUAUCUUUCUCUAACCAAAAAAAAAAAGAAAAAGAAAAAAGUCUGACACUUAUUUUUAUUUUUUAUUUUUUGCUUUGUCUUUCGAGGGAGAGUAUUAUUGGAGAUGAGUCGCUCCUAAUCACUAAAACCAACCCCUCAUAAAAUAUGCAAAUAGUGGUCCCCGCAUUUUAGAGUUGAAGCGAUGGCGAAUUGGUUAAUUAAUUAGGGCAUUGACUAGUUGAUUGGAAUCAAUCAGAUGAUGUAUACAUAUUUAAUUAAUUAGGGUGACUUCAUUCAACAGCACUUUAUACAUUUUUUUAAUACAUCCAUUAAUAUUCUACAUAUCUCGUUUUUAUAAAUUGUAUUAGCGUGGAAUAUGACUCAAUGAUUCUCCUUCUAGAUAGAUGUUGACAUAUUUUUAUUAAUAAAAAAAACAACAUAUUAAUAUAAAAAAACCAUCAUAAAGUUUCUAUCGAUUAUUCCAGUGUUUUUUUUAAUAAAACAUGGUUUCAAAUUAACUUUGGAAGUAAAAUUAACUACGCUAAUGAAAUAAUUAUACCAUCACUUCCACUUUCAUUACCACAUACUUUUUAAAUUCAUUUUGUUAGAUUUAAUAUGUUAUAAUGUGGUUGAUCUGUGAAUAGUUUAUAUGGUAGCUAAGAGUGUUACCAAAUAAACUCCGUACUAGAUACCUAGCUUAAUGGACACAAUCAAAUUAAUAUUAAUUAUUAGUCCCCCAUGUGACAGAUUUAUUAAUUAAGUUCUUUAGAAGCAUGGUUUCAUAUUUUAUUUGCAAUGGUAGUUUCCUCGUAUAAUCAGUCUCUUUCUAUUGUAUUAUACAGUAUAAAUUAAGUUGUCGUAGUAUACUAAUAAAUUGUAUUAAUAAUUAGUAAGCGUGACAUUAUUUUUUCAAUAACAGGAUAAGAAUGACAGAAGCAGAAAGUCAAACCAUGAUCAGCCAAGGGGUGAUUUUUUUAAAAAAAAGUUUUAUAAAAAAUAUACUAAAAAAAUGGUGUUCGAAUUUCAGUAAAAUAGAAAAUAAAAAGACUAAUUAAGGGCGUAUAAAAUAGAAAAUUAAAACACUAAGUAAGGGGUAUUCAAUUUUGAAACAAUAUACGUAAAAGCUCAUGUUAAUACCACGAACUUACGAUGUAAAUAAAUAUUAUACUUGCUAAAAUAGAAAUAAUGUUUUAUAAUAAUAAGAAAUAUGAUAACGAUUGGCCUUGUGUGAAGUUAAACUUUACUUUUAAAUUUUAAUUAGAAAAGUAUAGUUUGUAAUUUUCAAAGGGCUUUUUUUCUUUCUUUUAUUUUGAAGGAUGGAGCUCCUAAGAAGUCAUUUGAGCUGCUAUAAUAAAAAUUUCCAUUAUAACUUGUUUAACAACUGUUUGGUGCAAUUGAAAAAAUAAAAUAAAAUUAUACACUGCUUUUCUUAGAUGUUUAGCUUUUGCAUAUAGCAGGACUUUUUUCUUUUUCUUUUUCUUUUUUUUAUUAAUGGGUAGAGCUAAACUCACGAAAUUCAAGGUUUUGUCACACCUCUAAACCUUUUUUUUUUUUCUUUUUUUUUUUUUGAGAGAGAGAAAAACUCUAAACCUGAUUGGGAGGAAAAAAAAAAAAAGUGCGUGAAAAUAACUGUGGCCCGAGAGAUGUAGCAAUAUAUUAUGCCCAUUGUACAAUUGGAUUUUAAUUUUAUUUUUAUUAAGAACUCAGAAAACUUUGGAUUUAUGGGCCUAAGCCCAAUCACAGCUUUGUGCAAUAAAGUAGAAUACACAACAUUGUCAAAAGUAUGGGCCUUUGGCCUAGUUUAUAAUACAGCCCGCUUGGGCUACAACCCCUCUGAUUUAAUCCUGUGAGAAAAAAUAUUACUAAGCUUAAAAUUUAAGGUAUAACAACUAUUUGGAACAUUAGGAUCUUCAAAAUAAAAAAAAAAUAAAAUGAAAAUCUCUUAUCAAACCUAUCAUGCAUAUGCUACUUUUGAGGCUCUGUGAGUUCCCCACACUAUAUAUGAAUUCUAGCUCAAUCAAAAAUGUCAUAUAUCCCUUAUUACUAGGUGGCUCAAAUAGUAGUAGUAGGGAAUCAUGGUGGUUGGUCAUGCAUAUGCUUGUGUUUCCCUGUAGGUGGCUAAUUAACUAAGGUGCUUUUAUUUAAGCAAUUAAUUGAUGCUUCUGAUCGAGGGUUCAAUGUAUGUGCUAAUAAUCCGGGCAUAGGAAGUUUAGAUCCUAAUGUUAGGAUAAGGAUUCGCUUGUUCCCUACACUACCAAAUAAUUUCAUGAUGAAAUUAGUUUAUCAUUACUUUAUGUUUUCAUUGCUCUUGUGUCGCAAACAUGGCGUCGGUCGAUCGGAGGCACGUCCCUUUCGUGUUCUAAUGAUUUAAGAAGAAAAAAUGAGGAGAUCAGGUCAAUAUGAUCACAUGCAAGUUCCAAGCCCCAUGUAUGAGAGCAACCUAGUUCGUAUUAUAUCCAUGAUUGAAUGAUUGAAUGCUUAUUGAAGCAUCUUUGACAAUUGGGCACUAAUUGUUUUAAUGAGAGGACAAUAACUAUUCUCGACGACAUGUACAUGAAACUACUUCUUGUUUGGUCUAUGUGUGCUUCACAUUAUUUCUUAUCUAUAGCACGCUUACAAAACCUCAUUGGGAGUGGCUUAAUGGGAGUUAUCCACUGUCAAAACAUAUUAAUUUUUACAAUGAUCACAGGCCACUUCCUAAUUUUCCGCGAAAGUCAAUAAAUAGUUUCACUUUACAGAGCGAGAUGUACAGCUCUGAUGGAACCUUUGUAUAUGGCAUCAUAAUUGAUUAACGUGCUCUGCACUUAGCCGCCACAGUUCACCAACUAACUCGAUCACGAUCAAUGCUAUAAAAUCGGAUUACAUUAGGUAAUAUUGCAAGUAGUAAUAAUGGAGAACCCAGCAGGCACGUGCGUUUGUACGAUGAAUUUGUGAUUAGUCUUCUUCACUACCACCAAAGGUCGCCGUCAUCAUCACUGUCGUUGCUGCAGCUUCCUUGAUCAUGCAGUAAAGUGAAAUUAGCAAAAGCCUUUCACGUUUCGCCGUCCCUAGCUUUAUUUCAUUUGGAUCUCUUGUAUUUAUAUUCAUUGUUUGAUUUGUCGCUAAGAGGCCCUACUGCUAUUGAAAUGUCACGCUCCCAACUCUCCUGAUCCUUUAAUGCUAAUUAGCUGUUCAUCUCUUUCCCCAUGUUACUCCCUGCUACACGUUUUCUUCUUCUUCCUUUUAUGGGAAAGUCGAACUUUUGAGCACUUUAAUUCUUUUCUCCUCUGAUUAAGCAUUCAAUGCAUGGGAACGAAACAGCUAGUAAUUGUAGAAAUUGUUGUAACAGCUAUUUAAUUAAAUUAUAAUUUUAAUCGUUAAUUAGCUACAUUGUGACACUGACAUUGGUCCAACUCAUAAUUAAGGUCGACAAUAUUAGAAUCAGCUGCUCCUCGAAACGGGAUGGUGCUCCACCUUCGAAAGUACUUUUUUAAAAAAAAAUAUAUAUAUAUAUACAAACAACUUGCGGGAGUUAACUUAUUCACCGGUCCUGGUUAUGAAGUAAACUGUUGUAGUAACAGCGUUUUACGGUUGGGAAUUAAAAGCUCGGUGAUCCGCGGGACAAUAUAUGAAAAAGUGUAGGGUCGUUAUUGUAGUUAUACGAGAGUGGGCCCAGGUGAGGCGUGCAAUAAUAUCUCCCACCUACUAUUGCCAAUUUCAGGAACGUGUGACUGACACGUGGGUCCCACACACGUGGUCUCCACGUGGAACCUGGAUGGUCCACGUAAGCUUUACCGAAAUUUUCGUAUAGUCGUACAGUUAUUAUGUAACUAUUUAUCUAUCUAGUCUCUUUACAAAAAAAUUAUUUCCUAUCUAGUCUUCUUUUGAAAAAUAUUCUUCAUCUAGCCUCAUUUUCAAAAAUUAGAGAAAAAAAGAAAAAUUAAUUCUUUUAAUAUAUAUUAAGGGGUUAAGUAGGGGAGAUUAUCUUUUUCUCUCUUCUCUUCCAUUAAUUUUUAUAUCAGAAUAAUUUUGAUUUCAUUCGGCCUAUAAAUUUCAUAUUUUAAUGUACUAAAAUCUAAAAUACGAGAAAUCCAAAUAGUUUUUGGAUCAGGACCAUUAUAAUCAACUCUUUCCGAACCAUGUAUAAUAUUUCCAUCAAAAUAUAAAAAGAUUAGAAUUGAUUGUUGCGCCAUAUGAAAAUUUUUUAUUUUGAAAUAAAUUGAUAUGAAAUAAAUUAUACGCAAAAAUUAGAGAGUGAGAAGGGAUCUCGGGGAAGGAGAGAGAAAAAGAUAAUCUUUCCCACUUAACCCCUUAAUAUAUAUUAAAGGUAUUAAUUUCUCUUUUUUUUUUAAUCUUUGAAAAUGAGGCUAGAUGGGGAAUAUUUUUCAAAAGAAGACUAGAUAGGGAAUAUUUUUUUGUAAAGAGGCUAGAUAGGUAAAUAGUUCGUUAUUAUGUGAUGUGCACUUUGAUAACUCGUAUCACAUAGCCGUGAGGCUAAACACUUGCGCGUGAAAUACAAAUUACAGUGCUUUGUGCAUUUCCGUUCGUUGCCGAAUGAAAAGCUUCAGCAAUUCGGUAGUUUAAUUAAUCACCAAGAUUAACAUCACAACACCAUUUAUCCAAAACAAGCAAAAAUAAAAUAUAAAAAAAUAAUUAUGCAAAAAAUCACAACACUGACAUGUAAUGUAAUACUUCCGCUCGACCACAUCAAAUCAAAAUAGUUUUGAUAUCUGUGGUUGCUUUGCGUAACGAAAAUCUGAUAAAUCAUUCUAUAUAUACAUUGACAGGAGCCUGCCAUAUGAUCUUCUUCAAACUGCCGCAAAAAUCGAUUUGAUGGGAAACAGUGGUCGCAUUCGCCGACUGCCGAUUCAACCGGUGCUUGGGGAGCCGGAUCGGUCUGGCAGCCCUACGCUGCUGCCUCCCGCAGUGGAGACGGCGUCGGCGAUCACGCUCAUCGCUCGUAUUUGCAUCUCGAGUGCGGCGAUGUAGUCCGAGGUCUCCUCGAGGAGCGCCGGCAGGGAGACCUUCCGGCAGCCGGGGACGAGCCGGCCGAGCUCCUCCGCCUUCUUCUGCACCAACUCCGAUCUCCUCCUCCUCCUCCUCCUCUCUAUUGGAUGCGGCAGCGACCGCGGCAGCUCCCCCAUCCCCCGCUGCCUCCGCCGUCGCACGGCCCUGAGCUUGAUCGCCCGGCGCGAGAGGAUCGCCCGGCUCCACCGACUGCGGCCGCGCGCCGCCACCGCCAGGGCGCGAUCUGCCGCGUCCCGCACAGCACCGUUCCCCCGGGGCUCCGCCGCGUCGUUCCGGAUGCGACGGAGGGCUUCUAGAAGCUUCGAGGAGUACCUCUUCUCGAUGCUCUCCGUCCUCCACGUCGAGAAGCUUCGGUGGCCGGGCUCCGGCGCUGCGUCUCUCCGCUUCCGCUUCCUCCCUCCUCUCACCAUCGCCGCCGAAUCGCCGUUCUCCGAAUUCGGAAUCGCCAUGCACGUACGAUGGGAUCGAGAACAAUUAGCUAGGGAUUAAAGCGCUAUCUCAUUGCCAAGAGAUCACUCGAGGAAGAGAGGGGGAGGGGGGAAAUGGGCGGAGAUGGGGAGAGAGGGGGAAGAGUGGGGGUUAGUUAUAUUGCGGUGGUAAUAACGGAAAACGGACACGCGUCCGUUGCAACAUUACUUUUUUAUCCGAUUAUGCCCUAUUAAUUAUACUUUCAUAUUUUCUAAUGACAAUUUCUAGAUUAAGUGCGUUAUUCACGUAUUCUUAAAAAACAGCUUUUUAUUAAAUAUAAUUAUAAAUGCAAUAUACAAAUGAAUUAGUUUUAUGAUGACUUUGACCUUUAUUUAUUUAUUUAUUUAUUUUUUCCUUCGGAGCUGAAAUGAAUGACAAAAAUUUGCAAGCAAGAGUUUCAAUUUAGAUUCUUUCUUUUGUCCAAGGAUCAUUUUGGUUUUUUUUUUUUUUCCCCGAUCUUAUUAUGCAUUCAAAAAAAUUAAUCUCUACUUUAUAUAUUUGAAAGGAUAGGUGUUAUAUAAUUGGUAUACGCAGCAUACGAACAAAUAUGAGUUGUCAUGCACCCCUACUGCAUGCUACAGUUAUGUUUUUCACUGUCUAAUAAUUGUGAUCCAAAUAGUCAUGCUAUAUUCAUCCCUUAAAAAACAUGAACAUAACAAAACAAUAAGGUAUCUCCCAUACUUAAAUAGUAGUUUAGGCUUACAACCUCAUUGUUGCAAAUUUGUGAGAGGAAUUUUUUCAUGGAUUUUUUUUUUUUUUUUUUAUUUCCGUGGUUAUUUAUCUCGUUAUUCUACAUCUUAUGAACUCCAAAAAAUGCACUAAUUGUAAUAACAAAUUUUCUAUUAGAUUGCCUAAUUGUUGUAAUGCUUAUUUUUCAUGCAUCCCACUCUUUAUCCACCUCAAUCUCAAUUUUAUUAUCUCAUCAUACCAUCCACUUGACCCACAUUCAAUUCCUUUGCAGUGUCCCAGUAAUAGUCCAUAUUAUUCCUCAAUUAUAUUAUAUAACUUAUCUAAUUUAUAUUUAUUCUAAUCUAAAGUUGUUCCCAUACAUAUGUAUGUAAUAAAUUCAUUGGUUUGCCUAUCUGGCAUGUUUCCCACUAAUUGGCUGGGGAUCAAAAAUUUUUCUGUUCCACUCCUUGCAAUGAUUGGCAAUAUAUAUAUGCCAAUACAAAAUAUAUAUGAUUUUUUUUCCAUCAAUUUAGUUUGUUUUGAUCUCUUCAUUCAUUGUCUCUCUUAAUCCUUCAACUAUUACUUGCUUUUCUCAAACAGAUAGAGUAAGUUGAGACUUUUGCUUCAUAUCUUGCAAAGAGACAUCACUAGCUAGAGAAUAUAUAUAUGUAUCAUGAAUAGAUAAACUAAAUAUUUUGCAAUUUUGGCAACAUAAGCAAAACAUGACCCUUAUACAAGGAUUAUUUUCCAUGGAAAACGAAAAAUAAAAAUACAAGGUUUAACUAAUAGAAAGAUACCUCAACAUAAUGGUCAUAUGACAGAGACAAGAAACUUUAAUUUAGUCAUAUUAAGAUGCAGAGUAACUGGUCUAGAUUUUGUGAUGGAAUCUUUCAAUUAUCUCCUGGUAAAUUUGAUUAAACAAAUCUAAGGAGAUCUUUCAGAAUCUACUUCAGGUAGGAUGCGGGAAGUUAUUCCCCUCUAGACAUGUGAUAUGUCAUCGACCACAAAAUUUUAUAUUUCCACUUGACACAUUAAUAUUAUGUUAAUUUGGAAAAGAAAAUAAUAAUAAUAAUAAUGGAAGUAAGUAUGGAAUGAACAUUGUCGUGCCGCCUACAAAAGUCAAGGCAGAUGAUCCUUGUUUUGAGCUUGAAUUGUUACACUGAGAUUACUAUAGACUUGGUUUAGCUUGGGCUGGAACUUCUUCAGAAGCACCAUACUAUUUGAGUAGAUCUGUUCAAAAAUCAAGACAAACGAUUAUCGUUUGAAAUUAUGACAAUCCCCGACAAUCUGCCGAAGGCCCCUAAUGAGUCCACGGAUAUUGAGUUGUUGCCUCAAUUCGACGAGGGCGACAGCAGCGACGAUGAGCAAUGCCACUUUCUAGACCUCGUGCGCGAGGGGCAUGCAGGCCCCAAUAUUGCGCAUUGCUGCGGUUGGGUGACGCAUGUCUCGCUCGUCAGCUCCGCUACGAACGUUGCAGAGGUUGGCAUUCGAAUUUAUGCUAGAGAUCGGUAUAUUCCGGUUCCAGGACACCAGCCUCAGUAUGAAGAUUUAAUAAAAAUUGACAAAAAUUAAAUGGAAAAUUAUUUUUAUAGGCUAUUACAAGUAUGGAGAGGAAUGCAGAUUUAAGUAG
rnacentral:lncRNA from 1 species